rnacentral:lncRNA from 1 species
CUAUUUGACUGGGUUAAUGAGGAGCAUAAGAGUAACUUCAAGCCUUGGCGAUGUGUCAACAAGCCCAACACGAACAAGUUAGGUCAUUAAAGUAUCAAGCCGAAAAAUUCAGCUCGUGUAAUGAGUCGAAUAUGGGUUGGCUUACGAACAACAACUUAAAAGAAAUAUAAAGGAUAUAGACUAGGGCUACUAUACUCUUAUGAAUAUUAACCCUUUUGUACUCAUCAGUUUUCGGUCGUUGGAUGAAGCGAUAUGCGGUUAGAAUGAUAACGGUCCCUGGUUAGAAUAAUAGUGAUUAAUUCCCUAGGAUUGAGUGGAUGGUUGAUUGAAUAAUAUGAUUUAACGGCUGAAAAUAGUCAAAGUGUGUGGUAGAUCUAUCAUAAAAAAAUUUAUGAGUGCAAAGGGGUCUAUACUCAUAAGAGUACAAUAGCCGAACUAAAGGAUAUAUAUAUAUAUAUAGAGAGAGAGAGAGAGAGAGAGAGAGAGAGAGAGAGAGAGAGAGAGAGUGGGCUGGUAUGCUUAUGGUCCUCCGUGCUUCCAAGUUGUUUUCGAUGUUCGGACUUUCGAAUCGACGAUCGGCUCCAUUAGAGUUAAUCUAGAGUAUUUGAAGUACCUAGAAAAUAAAUUUUGUGAUUUUUCGAUAUCAUUUGCCUAGUGAUCGAAGUGGCUCAAAAUCAACGGCUGAAAAUAAAAAUCUUACAAAAUAUGAUGAUAUGACAUUAAAAUUUUAGAUCAAAGUUAUUGAUCUUGUUUUAUAUGGUAUAAAGNAUAUAAUAAAUUCAUGGAUCUUACCUAUUAGAUUUUGAUCUAAUAGUUGAAACUUUACGUAUAAACAGACAUUUUUAUAACUGAAUUAGACUUUUAUAUUUAGGCUAGAUUAAAAAUCAAAUAAUAAAAAAUCUAUAUUAUAUAUAUAUAUUAUAAAAGAAAAUAUAAAAUAUAUGUAUUCCAACUGUUGUCGAGCCGAAGGCGGGUGAGCUAACCCUAACGCAUUCAGGACGUUUAUUACACAAGCUAAAUGUUUACUGAACAUGCGAUUCGAUCUGGAGCUCAUUUCGAGCCGAAUAUGAGCUGGCUCACAAACAGCGCACCGAAUUGCCACCCCAAAUUAAGACUAUUGAGUUUAAAUAGCCCAUUUAAUUGGCCUAUUUAAACUCUGAUUUGGGUGUGGUCCAGAAUUGGGCCCAUUAGCUGGUUUUAACCAGUGAAUAGAGCCCAAGAAUCAAUCUGUAAUUAUGAAAACUUGAGGGUGAUCAUUAAACUAGUAUUACUUUCUCAUUUUAACUCCAUUCCAGAUGAUAUGGAUUUGUUAUCAAAUUCCUCUCAUGGCUGUGGGAUCAAUUCAACUUGGGAUGUCAAUGGGUACAGGUACCCAAAAUUUUAUUGGAACCUAAAUCCGAACGGAGCGAAUUUAUCCGAUUAAUGAAAAUGUAUAGUAGGUCAUAAAUACAAUUGCAACUAUCGAUCUAUGAGUAAAUUAUGUUACACAUUAAAUUUUUUAAUAAACACAAUUUUUAUAUGAAACUCGUAAUAAAAUAUACAAAGAGUACAAAACACCAUCUUAUUUUCUCACAUUAUAUAUUAUCUGUUACCAACGUUUGUCUCCUUAAAAAAAAGUCCUUACCUCUCCACACAUAUUAGUAGUAAAAAAAAAAUCUAUAUUUUUAACUAUAUAUCAAGAAACUUGAAAAUAGGGGAAUAAGAUGUUGAAAUAUUCGGAUGGAGAAUAAGCUAUUAGGAUAUAAUAUUGAUUUAUGAAUAUAAAAUAUAAUACAAUUAAAAAAUUUUGAUAUCUAUGGCCCUGUUUGGCCUACCUUCUAAAAAAGUGAUUCCUAAAAAAGUGAUUUUGGUUUGGAUAAGUGAUUUCUGUUAAAAGCUGUAGAGCGUUUGGCUGAGUCUGGUAGAAAAGUGAUUGUGCUGAAGUGAUUUUAGAAAGCUGUUUGGCAAAUUUUUUUACUGAAGUGAUUUUGUAAUGCUAUUUAACAUUAGUUUUUUUUAAAACUAACUAAUACCAUAUACCAAUAUUUCAAGUUAUCAAUAACUAUUUAAUACAACAAAAGUGUAUAAUGAUAAAUAUCCAUUAGGAUAACAAUUUAUCUAAAUGUACUCAUCAAUAAUGCAGCAAUACGAUCGCGAGUUUAGGUCAUGAUGUAAUCAUCUGUUACUCCACUAUAAGUCUGUGUUGAACUACUUGUACUGCUUUCAUCUUCUUCAAUGUUGAGCAAAUAAUUUAUAUCUUGAUCACAUUUGUUGAACUCUUCAUCUUGCGUUGAACUCAUCCUAAUAAAGUUGUGAAGCGCCAUAGUUGCAGACACUAUUUUUGAUUGAGUUGGCACUGGAUAACCUUGCAUCAUUUGUAAUAUACGCCACUGUGCUUUAAGUACACCAAAUGAUCGUUCAAUAACAUUCCUCAAGGAUGACUGUGCAUGAUUAAACACUUCUUUAUAACCUCGUGAUUGAGACCCCCGUCUAAAUUCAGGGAAUAUAAUAUCUCACAUCUCCGUCAGUAUAAGGUCUUAAAUAUCCUUUUAUAUUGGGAUACCCUGCGUCUACAAGAUAGUACUUACCUACACAUAGAUAGAAAAUAAUAAAAACUAUUAGAUAAUUGUACUACAAAAAUAUAAAUAUAACUUACUAUUUAAAAAACAAAAACUAAACUAACCUUCGGGAGGAUGUGAAAAUAUAUGACCAUAGUUAUUCAAAGUAGUAGUGAAAAUUCGUGCAUCAUGCGUAGCUUCCGGCCAACCGGCAACAACAAAUGUAAAUACCAUAUUGAAAUCACAAACAACUAUUAUAUUUUGCAUUGGAUAAGGCUUUCUACCAAUAUAUGAAAUUUGAUCUUUUUUAGGUAUAACAGCAUAAAUAAGUGUUCCAUCAAUUGCACCAAUAGCUAAAAAUUAUAAAAAAAACAUACAGUAUGAAUAAGCUAAAAAUUAUAUUUUGUACUAACCUUUAAUUUCUCCUCCCACCAUUCAAGACUGGCAUCAAUGGUACCCCUUGCAUGAUUUCAUCCUAAUCCUGUCUCUUUACCGACUAAUUGCAUCCAUAAAACCCAAUACCUUUUAAGAGAAUCCCAUUUAUUUUUCAAUUGUAUUUUGUCAUAAGCUCUAUUUGCUUUCUCUCUAAAUUUAUUAACCACAUUUUGCCAUCCAAUUCGAUUCAAAUGAGUAUUAGGUCGGUUCCCGACAUUGACCUUUUCAACACAUAUUUCGCAAAAAAUUUUAAGCAACGUUGCAUCCCACGUAGAUUUAAUUUUUUUUUCUUUUUUGGGUAGAUGGUUCUCCUUGUGAUGAAUUCAUCUUUCAGAUUUCUAGUAAACAAAUAUGUAUUAAAAGAUAAAUACAUAUAAAAAGUCACUAAAUAAUUGAUACAUUCAUACUAUAAAAAUUUCACAAAAUAAUCGUUGGAAAACAAAUUCCUAGAUGCAUGCAUUCAUUUCCCUUCCAACACAUAUUGUACUCAACAGUUGAGUUGUACCCAUUGAAUUUGUUGGGUAUUGCAGGUAUAGGCCUAAAAGUGAUUUUCAUAGGUUGGCCAAACAGGGUAUCCAUGGAUUGGACAACAACUAACCAAAGAACUUUACCAAUGUUAAUAAUUUAAAAGCACUAUCUGUUUUCUAAUUGUGGAAAUUAGCUGUAGAAACACAACCACCUAAAAUGGAGGUCAUGAUGCAAGAAUGGUGGAACACAUAGAAAAUUUAGUUUCAGAAAAUCCAUAUAUUAAUGUUGUGGAGAACCCUAUAAUGCCAUUGUUGAUCUUUUUUUAACUUAAAGAUCAUGCUCAUUUCUGAUAAUUAACAUGUCUGCUAAAGGUGGAGAUCAUGCAUUCGAUUCCCUAUGAUUUAUGGGACAUUUUGGAAACUAUUAUGAGGGACUAAACUUUUCACAAGCUUCAUGUGAGAUGGACCCGUCGGCACUGAUCCGGCCAAGUCGGCGGGAUCCAUCUUUGCCGGAUCCUGCCGGCGGGAUCCAUCUUUGCUGGAUCCUGCCGGCGUGAUCCAUGCCCAAAUCCGGCACAAAGGCGGAUCCGACGCUGGAUCCGGCAAAGCCGGAGCUCGCCGGCGCGGAUCCGGCCAAGCCGGCGGGAUCCGUCUUUGCCGGAUCACGCCGGCGCGGAUCUGGGGCCGGAUCUGGCGCCGGGCGCGGAUUAGGGAGAGAAAUCAAGAGAGGGAGGGAGAUAAAUCUGUAUGAAAAAAAAACUCUCCUUGGAAAAAAAAAAAAAGGGAGUACUUGGAGGUUCGCCGAAGAAAAAACUCGCCGGUGGAAAAGCCAUCGCCGGAGAAGAUAAAGGGAGAGAGAUGAAGAAGAGAGGAGAGGAGAGUGAUUAGAUGAAGAAGAAAGGAGAGAAGAGUGUUUUUUUUUUUUUUUUGGGAGUGAGAUGGUUGCGCCGUGAUAAUGGGAGAGUAAUGUUAGCAGAUGAUAUUAUUAAUUAAAAAGAAUAUGAUAGAAUUGUAUUGUUUGUUUAAGGCAAUUUCGGUAUUUUAGUAAAAAAUUUAAGUGGGGAAUAGCUUGUGCGGAAUCUAUUUUGAAAAGCAGGUUUUUUCAGCUUCUGCUUUUGGGGAAGCAGAAUCAGUUUCAGCUUUAGAAAGCAGAAUCAGAUUUUCAAAUACCUUACCAAACACUCUAGCUUGCCUAAAAGUGAUUUUCAGCUGAAAAUCACUUUGGAAUAGCUUGGCCAAACAGGGCCUAUAUCUAUAUCCAUUUUCAUUUGGAUAUUUAGAUACUUUUCUAUCUGAAUGCAGAUAAUAUCGAAUCACUAUCAGCAGAAUUACGUUAUAGGGACACAUGUUUAGGACACUUUUGAGUAAGUGUCCCAUUUACGCUAAACUUAAAAAACAUCUACUUAUGCCUAAAUAUAAAGCCCAAUCCAACCAAAAUAAAGAUUACUCUAACUUAACCCACACACCCAGUCCAUUUGACUCGAUUACAAACAGAAGAUAAAAAAAAAAGAAAAAUCAAUUACCAUCUUUUCUUCUCUCUUCACUCAAUCCAUUGAAAUUCUAGACGAAGAGCCUUUCUUGUCGUCCUCCUCCGUCAUCGCAGCCAAUGAGAUAGAGUUUCGGCGUUUGCUAAAUGCUUAAAUAAGUGUUGGUAAAUUAGCAACACUCUUUUAGGUUAUAGCAACACUCUUUAACUGUCACUAUAUACUUAGCGACCCUACAUAUAGCAACACUUUUUAAAAGUGUCGGUAAUUUUAGCUAGCAGCACUUUUUUGACAUGUACCUACAUUUAAAAGUGUCGCUAUAGACCGUUUUUGUUGUAGCGAAUAUGGAUGUGGAUGUUUGCAAAAAAUAUUCUAUCUAUUUUUUAAUGUUUUUUAAUUUAUACUUUUAUUUAUCUUAAAUUUAGAGUUAAAAAUUAAUAAUAUAUUGAAUAAUGUUGUGUGUUUUUCGACUUUUGAUUAAUUCAAAAUUAAGUAUGUGUUUUAAACUAACGCUACAGCAGAAUUAGGUUAUAGAGACACAUUUUUGGGACACUUUGUGUAAGUGUCUCAUUUAUACCAAUUUUUUUAAAAAAAGUUUACUAAGGCCUAAAAAUAAAGCACAAUACCAUCAAAGACAAAAAGUGCCUCUACUCAACCAACCCCUCCCAGCCCACUCGGCCCGAUUACAAAUAGAAAAGGGAAAAAAAAAAGAUCACCAUUUUCCCUUCUCCUCCUCCGCCGCCACAGCCGACGAGGUACGGUUCUGACGGUUAGAGUUCGGCCGCGAGGAUCUCGCAGGGACUGUAAAGGGCUUCGAUUGCCACGUGUCCCUCCGCCACAGGUCGCUGGAGGAGUGGGUGCCAAACAUCAAGGCGGCCCCACAUAUAGCACCCAUAUGUAGCAACACUUUUAAAAAAAUGUCGAUAAUUUAGUCAGCAGCACUUUUUUUUAGCUAUACCGAUAUUUAAAAGUGUCGCUAUAUACCAUUUUUGUAAAUCUAUAUUUAAAUUUAUUUUUUUCUUAAUUGGUUAGAUCGAUCAAAUCCUAAUUUGAUUCGACUUGAACUUUAUUCUAAUUUGAUCAUAUCAAAUUAAUAAUACAAUAUUUGUAUAUAAGUCCUCUCAUAAUUUACUAACUGUUGUUAAGUCCUCUCUUAUAACAUUUAUACUUUAAUACCACUAAUUUGUAACAAUUACAAAGUAGUCCAAUUAUCAACAUAUUGACAAUUAGGUCAUUCGACGAUUCUAAAAUCACUAUCUAGCUAUCCGAUCAGUCACAACCUUUUAUAUAUGUGACCUCAUAGGUUCUAUUCUAUCUGGUAGUGAGAUAUACUCUGAUCACUAUCAACAAUAUUACUGAAACUCCUUUCAGUGGAUUGGAACAAUUCCAACUCAGCCCAAUGAGAAUUAUCGAUUAUUUAGAUAAUUCUCAUGAGUCUCACAUUCCACCAGUGAUGCCAAACAGUAUGUAGUGUUAUUUCAGUAGAAUGGAAUACUGAACAUUUUGGUGCAGUUACCAUGUGAUACAGCCCUUCUAUCAUGAGUCCCAACAAGAUGGAGGUCAUAGAAUAGCUCGUCAAAUCUCAUCGUCUGUCAUAUGUCAAAUUUAUUCGACUCGAGUUUAUAAUAUCGAAAACUUUUUUUGCUAUUAACUCUACCUUGACCAAGGCCUUCUAAACUUAGUCUCAUAAAUCACAUAGGACUAAUGCCCCUAUCUACCAAGGGAGAUAGAUUCCAUAUAGGUGCACACCCUAUUCUUACAAUGAACCUACUGCUGCCAACAUGCACCGCAAGGACCCAAAUGGCUAGGGACUAAGUGUAUGUACAGUAAAAAUAUAGAAACUCAUUGUGAAUAGUCGAGGUACCGUAGGUCAACGGACCAGUCACGCUACUGCAACAUUGAGUAAGUCACCGAUAAGUGAGUAUACAUCCAAGUGACUUCUGGCAUUGGUCACACCGGAUACCCUUGUUCUCUAACAACCACCUACACAUUCGCUCCAGUGUUCCCACACUGUUGACUUGAGAUCCAUCUACCCAAAACGGGAAACGACCUGUGUACUAAUCUCACCAGAUUAAUCACCGUCCCCGUGAUGAUCUAUCGAUCGGGAGCAUUUAGGAAUUAACCACCAAUGACACAUGUCUCAAAUUCUCAAAUCUUAAGAAUACGUAUUAUCAUCUCAUUAAUUUCUUGAACGAUUUAUGGACACAUGCACAACAUAAAUGAAAAUAAGAAUUCAAAUUUAUUCAUGAUAUUUAAAAUCAAAUACAAAUUUAUGUCCUAAAAAGAAUACAUGUGUCGGCCUGGUUGGCUUCUAGGACAAGCUUAGUGAAUUGCCAGAUGACAUACUGAUAUUCAUCUUGGAAAGAUUGGAUGUGAUGUCUGUAAUGGCAAAAGUUUGCUUUUCUCACGAUGGCACCAUCUCCGGAAGUCCAUCACUAACUUUGAGUUCUGGAUGGACUCUAUCAAACCCUCCAGUGAUCACCAAUACUUCGUCUUGUCUACGCGUCUUGUCUACACGAUACGAUGCAUGUGUUUUAAAUACAAGAAGGUCAGAUAUAUAAGAAUACCGAAGGUGUUUCUUCACACGAUUCGUCAGCAACUUCUUACAUGUGAAUCACAGUCUCAAACGACUUUGUCGCUAUUUUGAUGCAACGAAAAGUCAGAAGUACAGAAGAUCUGUUGACAAAUUGAUUUUUACCGCAAUUCAGGCAAGUGUUAAUGAGCUCGAAUUCUUUUCUCUUCAUUGUAGGAAUGCCUACGAGUUCCCGUGGCAGUUACUUGCCACUGACAGUAGCGUAUCCUUUUUAACCGAGUUGAAACUUAGUAAUUGUAGGUUAGGCAGCCAUUAUGAUUUCAGACGGCUUGGUUCGAUAUCGAGGCUUUGUCCUGCACACAUAGAUAUAUCUUAAGAAAUAGUGAGAGACAUUCUCCGGAAUUGUACAUGCCUGGAAAGCUUAACCCUUGAGUUUUGCCCUUCCUCAAUCGACUUAAAUAUAGCCUCUCCUGAUCUGCAACUCAGAGAGUUAGUUCUGCAAGUUUCUGUCAGAAUUAUAAACAUAUAAAUCUUUGCUCCCAAGUUCAGAAGGUUGCAAUAUUAUGGAUACUCUGCACAGUUAUUGUUCAAAUCCAUUCCUCGUCUUGAGCAUGUUUGGCUACAUUAUGCUAGCUUCGACGGUGCAAAGUACAUAUUUGAAAACCUCUUGCCUGAACUUCCAUAUGUUUCGUAUUUUGUUCUAUAUUUUAAAAGUCAAGAGGUUGGUCAUUAGAUGCUUAUCUUCUUACAUAAUAUAUAUUUAUGAAUUUUCCCUAUUCCUUUUAUAUUUUCCUUUUGGUUGCACAGAAGUUGAUGAAACCAAGGCUUUCUUCUCCCUUCAGCAGCCUCAAGGAUUUGACGGUGAAUGUCUUUACAAAUUGCAAGCAUAAUCUUAUUUCGAUAACUACAGUAUUUGAGGCUACACCUUUUCUGGAGAAACUGCCAACUGCUAUAAGAUUCUUUCCUUGAUUUCUACAGAUUAUCUAUCCUUACUUGCACGAUCGGCGGCAGUGCAGUCAAGAUGUGUUUAGUAUUUAUAAUUUUACAUACUUUUCAUAUUUUUUUAUGUUUUCCUCAUCUUAUUAAUGAUCUGUUUAUCAAUAAUGUGAAAUUGGUUAGUAAAUUUCCUCUUUAUAGUACAUCUGUAUCUUAGAUCCAAAAAAAUGACUUCUUAUUGUAUGCUUUUGCUAGCUAGUCGAGAAUUUAGCUUGUUGGGCAUUUUGUUGUUUUGUCUUUGCAGUUAACAUUUUCUUAUUGAAACGGUGUAUUACAUCAACUUAGUCUAAAAACAAAAGCUUUUAUAGUUACUUCAAUGUUUCAUCUUGGCAUACAGGUUUUCGUGUUUUGAGCCAUUCAAUGUAAUUACCCAAAUGAACCUGCUGUAAUAGGUAACAUUUAUUCAAGUACUUUUACUUUUUGAUUGGCAAAUGAAAAUCUUAUCUCUGGUCUGAUCAACAAUGGUUGUGUUUUUCGUCUUGUCGUAAAUGAUUCAGUUAAUUAACUUCAAAUUGUAUACGAUGUUGUGUUUGACAAUAAAAUUAUACAAGAAUACAUAGCCGAGCAUUGAGUAACCUUGUGUUAUAAUGCGCUAUACUUUAUAUUGGAUCUAAGAAGCAUGGUCAAUAUACAUUCAAUGUUUUCCUCAUGUUAUUGAAUGCUGUAACAUCUUUGACCUGACUCAUCUAUGUCAUGAAAUUGAUAACUGCUCAAGUUAUUAGUAUUGCUUCCCUGCUCCUUUUACAAAUUAAUGUAUAUUAAAAUGAUAAUUGCUCUGCUGUAUUGCAAGUUUUGAAAUUGGGUAGCAUCGAACAGGCGGGCAAUGGAGGAAGGAUAUUAUGCAGCUUUCAAAAGGUUUUUCGCACCAUCAUUUGAUGGAUGUUAAAAUGCAUUAUUUUGAAGGGAGCGACUUUGAGAUAGCUUUUGCUUGAUUUCUGCAAAAACUGUAGUUCUCAGAUCCUUAACCUUUACCUGUGAUUAUAUCUAUCCAUGGUUUGAUUGGAUGUGGGAUUACAGUGAAUGCUACGGGCGAUAGUGGACUGAAAUGAAGAAAUAUAUUCUCCUAGAGCAGCUUACAGUAGGAAUUGCUUCGAGCGCUCGUCUUAGUUCUUCUAUCAUAGAAAAUGUUGUGCCUUAUGUGCUGUAAGAGGUUUACAAAAUAAAUUAUUAAAUUUCUAUGGGCUUUAGAAAAAUAAUUAUAGUAUUUUUUCUCUAUAUAUGUAUGGUUUUAUGCAUGAAUCUCUUCUGUUAUUGUCCUUUACGCUAAAAGUUUCCUUUUCACGACAAAUUUGCACUAGAGUCUCUUCAUAUAUGAAAUUUUACAUUUUCUCUAAUAAAUUGUCAUCCCUUUUGCGACAUAGUUCUUCAUUCAAAUUAUUUGUCAGAAACCUCCAUUUCAAAUUAUCUCUUACUUCUGACCAUUAAUUCAUUGCGUAUUUUAUGCAUAAGUCCCUUACAUGGCCAAAGGUUCAUUAAAGUGUAUACAAUGACGACAUUUAUUCAUAAAACUUUAAUUUUACAACUUAAUCCCCAAGAUUUAAAUUUUACGUAAAUAACUUUGAUUUUCUAUAUUAUUGUAGUAGAAAUUACAACCAAUUAAGAUGUAAUUUCAACUAUAUCAAUUGGAUUUCCUCACGUAAUUCUAAUUAUAGCAGUUUGACUUAAAUAUACUAAUCUGAAUAUUAUAUUUACUAGUUGAGUACGUGCAAAUGCACGUAAUAAUUAUUUUAAUAGCUAAUCUAGAAUUAAUAUAAUUUUUUACAUCAUAUUUAUUCAAAAGUUUACAAUAAAAAUUUAAAAUUUGAAAAGUAAAUUCAUUUAUUAUGUACUAUUAGAAAAUACCUAUCAUAUUUUAACUCAAAUUUAAAUAAUUAUUGCGGACAAUAAUUAUAUAGUUAUUUUUAAUUUUAUAAAAUUUGCAUUUAGAUCGUGAAUUAAAUUUAAUAUUAGAUAUCAAAUUUGAAUUAAACAAUUAAAUUAUUUUGAUUAAAGUGGAUCAAAAUUAAAUUUUUAAAUUUUGAAUUAAAGGUAAAUUAAAAUUUUGAUACUUUUAGUUUAAAACACAUACUUAAAAUUUGAAUUCACCAAAUUUCAAAAACAUACAAAAAUAUUCAAUAUAUAGUUAAAUUUUAACUGUGAAUUUAAGAUAAAAUAAAAAUUAAAAAUAAAAAGAUUAAAAAUAAUCAUAUAUUUGAAAUUAAAUUCAAAUUAAAUUAAAAUUUAAGUAUACAUUUUAAACUAAAAAUAUCAAAAUUUGAAUUGACAUUUAAUUCAAAAUUUAAAAUUUAAUUUUGACCCACUUUAAUUUUUUUUNAACUAAUUUAUCAUAAGCAAAUAAUUUGAUGCUAGUUAUAAAAUCUAUUUUAGUAAACAUUUAACCUAAAUAAAUUAUGACUCCAAAUAUCAAACUCUUUUUUUUAGAUAAAAAAAAUUAAAAUCAAAUACUAUUAAAAUUUAGAUAUAUAUUUGAAAUUAAAUUUAAAUUUAAUUAUUAAUUACAAGCAAUAAAAAGUUAAUAUAACGAAAAAAAUCAGUAGAUAAAAUAGAGAUAAUAUAUUGACAUCAAAAAGAAAAUUAUUUGAAGGAUAAUAAUAUUUAAUAAAAAUAUUAACAGAUGAAGAAAAAUGAGGAACUAAAAAUUAUUUCGUUAUGUACAAAAAAAAAAGAAGAAGUUUGAAAUGAAUAUCUUGAGAGGCCAAAAUUUGAAAUAUGUGCUUUAUCUAUAUAAUAAUAAUAAUAUGGAUAAUAUAGAUAUAGAUAUAGAUAGAUAGAGAACUAGGCUGGAAUACUAUUAGGGUGCAUUUGGUUCAAGUUUUUCUGACAGGAUUACAGUCAAUCCUGCCAUGAUUACUGUGUUUGGUUCAUCCGCUAUGUAAUCUAGUCGUUAAUGUAGCAUUACAAAUCGAGCAGGAUUACACCGAAAAUAUUAAUGAGAGGAGGGUCGUGUAUCUGGUAUUACUGAAAACCGGUAAUACUACAUAUUAUGUAAAUGACAAUUUUACCCCUCUAACUCCCGAAACCCUUUCAAUAUGUCAUUUUAAAAAAUUUAAUUUAAAAUUUUGAAUUGUCAACUUUUAAAUUUUAAAUUUAAAUUUUAAACUUCAAAUUUAAAAUUUAAAUUUAAAAUUUAAAUUUAAAAUUUGAAUUUAAAUUUUAGAUUUUAAAUUUCAAAUUCUAAAUUUCAAAUUUUAAUUUUAAUUUUUAAAUUUAGAAUUUGAAAUUUAAAAUCUAAAAUUUUAAAUUUGAAAUUUGAAAUUUAAAAUCUAAAAUUUGAAAUUUGAAAUUUAAAAUCUAAAAUUUAAAUUUUAAAAUUUAAAAAAUUUUAAAUUUGAAGUUAAAAAAUUUAGAUUUUAAAUUUCAAAUAAAAAAUUUAAAAUUUAAAAUUCAAAUUUCAAAUUUCAAAUUUCAAAUUUUAAAUUUUAAAUUUCAGAAAUUUUAAAAUUUAAAUUCAAAUUUGUAUUUUAAUUUCUGAAUUUUAAAUUUAGAUUUUUAAUUUUUAAUUUUAUAUUUAUAUUUCAUUUAUAUUUUGAAUUUUAAAUUUAUAAAUUUCAUAUUUAUAUUUUAAAUUAAAAUAUUAAAUUUAUAUUUUUGUUCAAAUUUAAAAUUUAAAAUUUAAAUUUUAAAUUUUAAAAAAGUAAAUUAUUUAAAAUAAAAUUUAGUUAAAAAAUACUAUUUGUAAACAGUAAAAAAAAAAGUUUACAAAAUAUGAUUAAGCGUAAUUUUGGAAUAGACUAUAUUUUAUUGUCUAGAUUACUUAAUUUUAUAGAUAAAACCAAACAUAUUAAUGCUAUAACCACUGCAAUCCAGCAUUAUAUUACUGUAUUAAACCAAACGCGCUAAUGCAGCAUAAGUAUUAAUCUCUUUUAGAAAUCCAAGAUACCUGGAUAUAUUGAAAUGCUCUGUAAUAUUAUAUAACUUGAACCAAACGCGCCCUUAAUAGCACCAAGCUAUUGGUGGUAUUAGGUUUUCGGCCUUUGGAUGAAAAAAUAUACGGUUAGGAUAAUGUGGGCCCUCUAGGGUUGAGUAAGUUAUUGAUUGAAUAGUAUAAUCUAACGAGUGAAAAUAAUCAAAUGGUUAAAUUUAACAGUGAAAAUUUUGAUAGCACCAAAUGCUUGGUGCUAUCGAUACUAUCCUAGUCGGAUUCGAUAGAUAUAUAUACAUUUAAAAUAAAAAUAUAGUAGUAAUUAUUAGGGUAAACUUCAAAUUCCGCGUAUGUGGUUUCGCACUUUCUCACUUUAAUACUUUGUGAUUUAAAGUGUAUCGAUUUAGUGGCCUAUUAACAAAAAGAGAAAAAUGAAAUCAUACGAAAUCAUAGUGUACUAAAAUAAAAAAAAUAUGAAACCACAAGAGAUGUAUUUGAAGUUCUUCGUAAUUAUUAUGUGCAACGAAAUCUUUCCAAAUAAAUUAGGUAUUUGUUUAAAAAUGUUGUGUACUAAACUAACAAAGGAAAAGAAAUAAAAAAAAAAAACACAAAAUCACGAGACGAAAGAGCCAAUCAAACCCUCACAGGAUGGACGCAUACUCGACAGGUGAAGACAAAUCCGGAGCGAAGGAGGUUCCCCUAAAACGCCAGGCGGCGGAAGCCCGGGCGAGCCUGUUGACUUUUGAGGAGGACAGGCGGCCGUCGAGAGAGAAAGCUAAACAGAAUAAUAAUAACAAAACUGAAAAGUGGAAACCCACCGUCGCAGUUCAACAGUCGCUCUCUCUCUCUCUCUCUCUCUCUCUCUCUCUCAGCGUCGUAGUCCUUCCCCUUCCUCCCUUCAUUGGGCUCCAAAUCGUGGGUCAUAAAAAUUCCCUGGUUCCUCUCUAGGGUUUCCUAUUUAUUCCCCUCCCCGAUCCCUCCGCCGUAUCAUCGCACUACUCUCUCUGUCUCGGCCGGAAGGGUUUUGCGCCGGCUAGGGUUCCGGCGGAGGAGGAGGAGGAGGAGGAGGAGGAGGAGGAGGGUGGGGGGGGGGGUGAUGGGGACGAAGAGGUGGCUGAUACCGGCGCCGGCGUACCAGGAGGUGGGACGAGCUGGCGGCGGAGGACGACGCGCCGGGCCGCGGUGCGCGCACUCGCUCACCGCCUCGCCGCCACCAAGUCCCACGGCCCCGCCUCAUCCUCUUCGCGGCGCCACCCCUCGACGACGGUAGCCCCUCCGGCAUCCCCGAAUUCAUUACUUCUCGCUCUCUCUCGCUCUCUCUCUCUCUCUCUCUCUCUCUCGCUCGCUCGCUCUCUCUCCCUCCUCUUCUCUCUCUAUCUAUCUCUCUCUCGCUAUCUCUACAUUCGUUUGAUCUGAUUUGGGGUUUGAAACUUGUGAAGGGCUCGCGGGAGUGACGAACUGGGUCCACUCGUAUGACGUGCAAUCGAAGAAAUGGACCAGGUUUGAUCUACACGCUACUUGCCUUCUCUAUUCCCCCAGGUUCCAUUUUUUAGGGUUAAUCAGAUUUUCAGUCACUCCAGUUUUGGUUUAGUGUAAUUUUCAGUUCACACGCUUUAAAUCUUGCAAUUCAAUUAUGGAUCUAUAGUGCAGUACCGAUAACAAUCAAGUUUUUAUAGUUUUUGAAAGCGUGAUAAUCAAGUCGCUGUGUUAUUCUUCUUCUUCUUAAAUUGGAAGGGAAUGACAUUUAAUUGUCUAUGUAAGCAUGGGCUGUCGCGUAGAGGGUUUGAAAAGAAGUUGCAUUUUUGGGGAUGACAAUUCCUUUUAUUGUGUUAAUUUGUGUUUAAUUUCUUAGUAAUUAAUGGGAGUAAAGUGUUGUAAUCUGGAUUUGGUAGGAUACACCCAGUAGGAGAGGCUCCUUCACCUAGGGCUGCUCAUGCAGCAGCUGCGGUGGGCACCAUGGUUGUCUUUCAGGUGACAUGACGCUUAUAAUUUUUCUAGUAGCUAAGUUUUGGUGAUUUGGAUUUGGUGGCUAUCUCUUUCGUUAGCGAUAAUGAAGAAAUAGUGAGAGUUGCUUUGUGAUUUUAGGGUGGGAUUGGUCCAGCAGGGCACUCGACAGAUGAUCUCUAUGUGCUUGACCUGACCAAUGAAAAAUAUAAGUGGCAUAGGUGAGGAUUUGAUACUCUAGAAAAUUUUCAUUGGUUUCUUUAAGUUUAAAAAUUUUCUUUUAAUUUGUCAUAAUUCAUAACAGGGUGGUGGUUCAAGGGCCUGGACCUGGCCCUCGCUAUGGCCAUGCAAUGGACUUGGUCGCUCAGCGUUACCUCGUGUCGGUCAGUGGCAAUGAUGGUAAGCAAUUCAGGCUUUUGUCUGUGGCUUGGUUUAUUACGAUCUAGGCAAAAGGAAAUAAGAAAUUAGAAAGUUAAGAGUGAGUCAAUGAUUCGGACAGUGAUUGCAGGCAUGUGAAUCUAAUAAAAUGGAGAAGCAAACUUUAAUGCCAUAAAAAUGAUAUAUGAUAAACAAUAAAUGGUAACUGUAUAUAUUAUUUGAAGUUUUCACGAAACAGAAUUUUAUUUAUGCCUAUUAUACAAUGCAAAGAGAUGUAGAUUUUAAAGGAUGCUGCCUGACAUGCCACCACCUAUUGUGCUCAGCAAAUCUUUCCAAGCAGACUUUUAAAAUGUCUAUCAAAUAUCUCUGCUACGAUGUGUACAUCUUAAUGGAGAAAUAGUUUGAAUUUUGCGCAUGAUGAACUGCAUUUGCCUGUCCGCAUGGUAGUUCAAUGAUAUGUUCAAGCUGUUUUGGGCUAAUGCUAACAAAAUUAUGGCUGAUAAUCACCAUUGGUUUGUCAUUCCUGAACCAUAAUAUAAACUUGCCUCGUUUUUCAUUCUUAAAUAUGAAAUGCUGAAGCAGUGGAACCAUUUCAAGCAACAUGCCUAUCAUAAUAAAUUAUGAGAUUUGUAAGGAAUACAGAGAACAAGUUUAGUAGGAGGAGCUAGAUAACACAAAUUCAUUUGUAAGUUCGUCAAAAUUCAUUUGUAAGUUUGUAACUUUUUUACACAAUCAUAUGUAAAUUAUUUAUUCAUGAUGUAAACUAUAAAAUCAUAUAAAAAUGAAAAGAUGUGAGAAGCUUAGGAAAGUGCUUUUCACAUCUGUAUGUAUACCUGAGAAAAUGUUUGUUGCCUGUACAUCCUCAAAAGUGCUAUUGGAUGUAUUUUUUUUUUAAUAUCUUAUAUAAAUUGUCAGGAUAUAUGCAAAAAUCAACGCUUUCGAUUUAUACUUGCUGAAUUUGGAUUUCAUCAUUGGUUCAUAUACAAAAAAAAAAAAAAAAUCAAACUAUACGUAAAUUGUGCCUACAAAUUUUAUGUUUGAACGGUACUUAAGCAAAUAAAAUUUUUAUUUUCUGAGAUGUAUAUUGUGGUAUAAUAUCAUGGUGGACCAUCUGGCAUUAUAUGGAAUUUUAGUAGCUUAUUCAUGAUGAAAAUAAUUGUUAUUGUCCAUAGUCUUUUGGUUGGGCAUUUCCUAUUGACGUUAUGGCUAAAUAUCCUUAUAUGCUGUAACAUAGUAUUUGCAGAAACAAUGAGUUUUUUGCUCUAUCUGGUUCCAGCUUUGCUGACAUUGGUUUGAAAUGAGUUCAUCUCACAUGUAUCUCUUUACGGUAAGUUGUUAAUAUGGGUUCUAAGAAAUCAUGCUAUUUUAUGCAGGAAAGAGGGCUUUAUCUGAUGCUUGGGCAUUGGACACGGCACAAAAGCCAUAUAGAUGGCAGAAACUUAACCCUGAAGGCGACAGACCUUCAGCUAGAAUGUGAGCUUAGACUUGUUAAGUAAACAUUCUGGUUUAUAUAAUUUGUAUAUGCUCUUUCCUCUUAUGUCAUCCUUUUAACUCUAUUGUUUUGUUGUAAAGCUAAUAUUGCUUUUUCACAUUUUCUUUUCAACAUUAUAGCACGUUGUCUAACUACAAUCAAAGAUUUUCUUUGAUUUUUCUACUGAUUUUGAUGCAACUUUUGGUGAUUCUUCGCAUGCCUUUGAUAAUAAGUUAACAGGUUUUAUGCUUCAUGAUUAUGACUGGCUUUUUCUUCUUAUCAAGGACCUGAUGGUCUUGUUCAAAGAAGGACAAACAGUUUUCCUCCUAUCCUUCGAGCAGCUUUGUGUUGUAGCAGAAGCAGAAGCUUGAAUUUGGAAUAUUUGCUUUUAGGGCCCGGAAGCUCAUUUCAACUCCUUUUCACAGCAAAACUACUACACUUUUUGUUUGCCAUACGUUUAACUACUGCUUUUCACAGUAGAGAGUAGUUUUGUAAAGGAGGGCAAGAGGCACUUUGUCUCAUCUAUGAUCUUCAUGUUGGCGUCUAUCGAGGCAUCAAACCUAUAACACCUAUUUAUCCAUCAACAGAUAUGUAUGAAGCUGCAUAUUGUUUGACCUCCACCGAAGUAUCUACUAACAAAUUACCCUAGAUUGGAUUUCUACUUCAUUGACAUAUUUUUCCUUAAAUUGUUCUUGAGAUAUUUAUUUCUUCCUUUUCUCAUAACUUGGAGGUGUACCAUUAUACCCGGAUGCAAAAUUUGUUAAUCAUCUCUAGGAGCCAUGAUUAGAGCUAAAACCCAAACUUACUAUAUAUGGUGAUGUAAUCUCUUGAGAGGAGUAUAAAUUCAGUUACUUUCCUAUGACCAUAUUUUUCCUCCUGUUCUUAUUGGUGGAACUACUGAUGGUAUUAAGACAUCGAUGCACAAUAAAUCAGAUUUACAUAGCUAAAAACUAGUAAGAGUUUUCUUUCAGUGAUUUGGUCAAGGAAGGUGUAGAAUGAUAGCACAACUCAUUUUGGGUGUUUUUGGUUUUAUAGAAAAGUUAUGAUCCAUGGAAGACAAAAUCCGUGAGAAACUGUUUCCCAUGUAAAAGGAUACUGUUGAAAGGUAGGGAAUUCAAAAUGAAGUUCCUUUUCUGCCCUAAUUUAGGAUGAGAAAACAUUAAUACUUCUAACGACACAGAUAGGAGAUUGUUUAUCUAGUUGAAGUCUUCUGUUGAAUAUAUAGAACUUUGACAUUGUAACAAUACAAAAGCCUAAUAUACUACUCUGUGGGUUUGAGCUGCUUUGCAACCAAAUCUAUACAACCUUGAAUGUAAUGAUACAAAUAUUGAUCGUAUGGGACAACUUUGUGCAACUUCAUAUGUUUACAAGGCAGCCAAAGUUUAUAUGAAGAGGGAACUAAGUAAUGGAGAUCACAUUUUUGUUUGCAAAAGUUAAACUUUAAAUGAGAAUUUAUAACAUCACAACUGUUGUGGUAAACCUUCCCAAUUCUUCCAUGAUAUGAAUAUCAAAGUGAUGGUUAUAUUGAAUGAUUAACCAGGGAAAAAUAUUGGUCAUUAUUUGAUGGGUAAGUAAUAUUAAUGGCUAUGGUGCACUUGAUUUAAAAGCUACCUCCUGUACGUUUAAUCUUGGACAAGUUCUCAAAAGCAAAUUGAAGCUCCAGUAUAUAGCCCCAAAUUGGGAAGAAAAGCCCUGUGAUAGAAUGGGUUAUCACUUUGGCAGUGUAUUAGAUUUUGUUAGUUUCAACAUCAUUUGUAGAAGGUUGACCAGUGCAGUUUUUAUAUUCAUGUAUUUUACAUAGCUACUGAACUUUGAAUUUUUAUUUGUAUGUUCAAUUGUUUAUUUUGUCGAAGGGAAUUUUUGCACAUUAUCUGAACCAUCUUAAAAUAAUGAAGGGAGUGGGAUUAAAGAGAGUAGUGUUUAUCAUAUAAUCAUGGAACUGUUUAUUAUGCUUUUUAAUUGCACAUUUUUUUUUAAAUGGAUGAGUUGUAGUUAAAAUACAUGUUGUGGCGAAUUUGUUUUUGUGAUUAAUUUUAUGUUGCCAACAAUUAAUAUAUUUUUCAUUUUUUGUACGUUUACUUCUUAGUAUAGUUAUUUGUAUAUUAUUAGAUGUUUUCAGAAGAUAUCUUACUUUCUUUUAUCAAUCGUGUUCUGAAUUUAGUUUCUCGUACUGCGACUUUGUCUUACUAUCAUUCUAUUUUUUCCACAGGUAUGCUACUGCUAGUGCACGUUCAGAUGGCAUGCUUUUACUUUGUGGUGGAAGAGACACUUCUGGAAUGGUAAAAUCAUCCUUUUCUAUAUCUCUUUAUUUGCUUAUAAUUUCAUAUAAAUGAUUUGUUUCAACUUUCAAAUAAUGUUACUUGUAUUUAUCAAUAUUACUAAUUUUUAUGACACUACAACAGGUUGGUAUGUAUAAGCACUGUUGUAACAUGAUGUGAUGAUGAUUAGGCAAAAAGUUCAAUAUAAUGUCAAUGCGCAUUUGUUUGUGGUCCAAGCUAGUGUUUGUUCAGCUAUGCUAAAUCAUUUAGUAUAACCUGCUCGAAGUUACAGUUUUGUUAUGUGAGUAUCCAUUUCAACAACUCUGGCUGUUCAGUUGUUUCAGCCCAUGAAAUUAAAAAAGAUGAGCCCAUGAAAUUGAAAAAGAUGAAAAAUGCAAAAUUAAUUAAAAAAAAAAAUAAAGCAACACAACAAACUUUAGUGUAUUUGGAGAUAGGAAUAUGUUGUUUUAUCCUAUCUUUUGCUGUUUUCCAGGAGGACUUCUAGAAACUAUUGACAACACUACUCAUAUUAUGUAUGUGUUAGUUCUUAUGAGCACAUUCUUCAUAGGCAUCACUCUAGUUAUUGCAUAGAUAUCACCUGUAAUAGUUUUACUUCGCCUUGCUCCUUCCUGCGGUUCAACAAUGGAGGAAAACAGAAAUGCAAAUUUUCAUGAGAUCUGUGGUGGUAGCAGGGUGCUUGGGCUUUUGCCCAACGUGAUGAAAUGAAACCUUAUUUUGUUAAAUCUGUUGACAUUUUGGAGAUCGAAAUCAUUUUCUUUUGCCUAAUAUUUCCUAGAAUGACCGUCAAUGGACAAAGAGAAGCAUUUUGGGGCUAAGGCUAUUUUUUUCAAUUGCAGAAGCAUUGUGUUCCAUUAAGAAUGAAGACAAAAGGAUGGCUAAUUAUAAAUUGGAAGGAAUGUAUUUUUUGUGCGAACCGAUUUCGUUUGAAACUUGUAGGUUUUGUCUGAAAUGUCUGAAACCUCAAAACUAGCCAAUCGUUGUUGAGCCAAAACUGAUAGGUAUUUGAUAGUAUUCGAAUCGAGCACUUCUAUGUUAGGUAAAAACAUAUAAGAACUUACCUGAACUGUGAACCAUAUCAAAGCCAAUCCUUGUUGGUGAGAAUUGAUAGGUAUCUUUUAGCACUCGAAUCGAGCACUUCCAUAUUGUUUAGAUAAAAAUAUAUAGAACUUUCCUGAACUAUGAACCAUUUUGAGCUGACUACUCAACCUUCCAAAAUUUUGAUUUUACUACCUAACCUUUCGAUUUGUUUGAUUUGAGUUAGUUAGUAGCUCUUUGACUUCAAAAUUUGAAUGCGUUGUUGAUCUUUAUAGGUUUAGUUAGUAUAUUUCAUGCAAUUCUCGUAACUAUAUACUCAUUAAAGUAAUUAGGUUUAAUUUUGAAGUCAAAUUAUUGUUAACUAAUUCAAAUCAAACAAAUUGAGAGGUUGGGUAGUAAAAUCAAAAUUUCGAAAGGUUGGAUAGCUGAUUCAAAAUGGUCUAUAGUUUAGGUAAGUUAUGUAUGCUUUUACCUAUAAUUUAUGCCACAACAAUAAAUUAUAUGAAUAUAUGCUAUAUGUAAAGAAGAAUGUGUGUUCGAGUGCAUGAGGCUCCUUAACAUUGUAGUGUUGAGGCAAGCGAGAUGACCUUACCCCAUUAUCUAAGAGGGUUUUUGCUUUUCUCCGUCUGUUCCGCUAGAGCUCAUGAUGGAAGCCUUAACCACCAGAUAUAGAAAUGCCUUCUCUCUGUCUGUUCCGCUAGCAGCCAUGGUGGCCGACAUGGCGGAUUUCCAUGCUUCUACCAUGCUUUUUCCAUAGUGCCUCUCCGUGGCGUUUUGGCACAAAGCAGGCUGCCAUGGCGGAUGUCGCCCUCCAUGGCGGCUGCUAUAUAGCGGUUAAAUGGCGGCCGCUUUAUGCUAUGGGUCAAAAAUCUGUUUUCUAAAUGGGUUUUAAAACCCCAACCCAGUAACAAUUUGUAAAUAGGUUUUCAAAAAAGGGUCGAACACCUUAUGUUUACAUAUUUAUAACAUAUUUAUAUGUUUAGUCUUUUAAUUAGUUUUUUGAUACUAUGUCGAAUAUAAGUUUUGUGAUCUUCAUUAUGCUACAUCCUUUUACUGCUGUUAUUUUAGACCUUAUGUUUCCUUAUUUAUAUUUAUCUACUUGAUUAGGAGGUAAAUUAGUAAUAAAUUAGUAUUAUACAUUAUUAAAAGUUCGAGUCCGCCAUAGGUACAAGGGGCCGCUAUGUCUCCCGCUAUCUGCUAUCUGCCGUGAAGAACCCUAACUGCUACGUGCCUGCCGCACGCCAUUUAGAAAUUAGAACAUUGCAUGAAAAAUGUCUGAUAUUCAUUGUGCACUAUUUAGUGGUCAUAUGGCUUGAUGAAUGUUUGGGCUACACUUGUAUGGAAGCUUGUAAUUAGAUCUACUUUUCUAGAGAGUAUUUUUAGCAUAUACCUAAGUUUGCAAUGACAUAAUGUAAUUUGCAGCCACUAUCAGAUGCUUAUGGCCUCCUAAUGCAUACAAAUGGCCAAUGGGAGUGGACUCUUGCUCCUGGAGUCUCACCAUCGCCACGGUAUCAGCAUGCUGCAGUAAGUUCUCCGGAGAGCAGAUUCAUAAUCACUUUGAACUCGAAUAUGUAAUAAUGAUUAAUUAAUUAAAAAAAAGGGGCAAUUGCUUAUAUACUUCUGAAAAGUUCCCGACUUUCUGAUGUACCCCUCUUAGAAGGCUAAUAUUAAAAAUACCCUUUUUACGUUCCAACCUAUUUCUAAUAUACUCCUAGAGUUAAAAUCUCUUAAUGAACUCUUCUAUCUCUAUGAAAUUACUAUUUUGCCCUUUCAAAUUUACUCUUCUACCAUCACCGACUUUUCUUAUUUGCCCUUAAGUUAGGGGUACAAAAAGCAUUUUGCUUUUUGGUCUUUUCAAAUAUACUCUUCUACCAUCACCCACAUUUCUUAUUUGCCCUUAAGUUAAGGGCAAAAGUGGCAUUUUAAUUUUUUUUAACUGUGGUAGAUAUUUAACUCAUGUUUAACCCAAGUUAAUUUAACGGGUGGUAACUGCAGGGGUAUUUUGGAAUAACGGAGGAACAUAUGAGGGGUAUAUUGGAAAGAAAAAAAAAGCAGGGGUAAAUGAGAUAUUUCCGAAGUUUUGAGGGGCAUAUAGGCAAUUAUCCUUAAAAAAAAAAGAUCUUACGAUGUCAAGUUCCAUUAAGUUAUUCUUUAUACACGAUAUAUGUUUUACUUUCAUUAUUUUUUCCCAAUUUGUUUUAGUUGUAGUGACAAUGCAAUUGAAUAGGUUUUUGUCGGUGCUCGAUUACAUGUUACUGGAGGUGUUCUUAGGGGUGGACGCACUAUUGAAAGUGAAGGUGCAAUUGCAGGUAAAUUAUUUUUCUCUUUUCUGUGAUUUUUGGAUGCUUGUUGUUUGACACUAUAGUUUUCAUUAUCUAUUUCCUUGUCUUUUUGAAGUUCUGGACACUGCUGCUGGGGUGUGGUUGGAUAGAAAUGGUAGUGUUACCUCCUCUCGUUCUCACAAGUCUUCAAGUGAGCAUGAUCCAUGUUUGGAGCUUCUUCGUCGUUGUCGCCAUGCAUCUGCCUCUGUCAGCUCGCAGAUAUACAUAUAUGGCGGUCUCCGAGGAGGUAAAUAUAGAUUACUUACUACAUUUUAGUGCUUGUGUAAUUCAUCUAGGGAUGAAGUAUGGGAUUAGAUGUGACAUUCAAAAGCAUCUAGACAGGCAUCUAGACAGUAAGAGAGUAGCAUCAAGCAAAAUUGGUAGAUUUUUCUAGAUUUUUGGGAUCUUCUCGUGACAGAUCAUUCUUCAAAUAAUUUGUCAUCUGACCUUUCAUCUGAGGAAGUGAAAAUAUGGAUGCGUAUAAAAGAAGCCGAAGAAGCCACAAAAGUUAGAUCUGAACUAAUAUUACUCAUAUUGUGGUGUAGAAAGCUCUUGAUCCUCAAAAGCUAGGAACCACGGAUCUUCAAAAAUUUUGUUUUGUUUGUGUCGUGUCUGUGUUAUUCACAAUUCUUGGAUGGACACUUCGUGGACAUGUGUCAACCGUGUAUCCGCUAUGCUCCUCACGCUCCUUACGGUGCUGCACCUCGGUAGCUGGUCUAUCGUGCAUUGAUUGCGUGUCCAGUAUAAAAGUACAUAAGCGAAUAUGAAAAGUUUUUUUUUCCUACUCUGUUGUAUAUAAGUGACUGUGAAUGAAUAUUAUACCUUUUUGUAUAGCAUGAUUGAGUUUUUUGAGUUAAAGAUUUGAUUUAAGUUAUAUACUUAAAUACUGUUAACUUUUAUAUACAAAGCGAUUAAGGCAAAUCAGUUGCUGUCCAUAUAGGUGAGAAAAUAGUAAGAAAAUAGUAAUGAGAAUGUUAACCUUCCCCCUCUCAACUAUAUCAAAGGUUAAAUAUAUCAAAGGAGACUUCUCUUUGGAGGGGAAAGAAAAAUUAGACUGCCUUCUUGUGUUAAAAAAAUAAGCCACUCAUUAGGAGGUGGAAAAUCACAAGAACUGGUGUCAAAGGAGUGUUCCAUGUUUGUGGAGGCUUGAGGAGUAUGUUCUACACCAUUCAAAGAGACAAAGACCAUCAUUCCUUGAGCAUUCUGCAUCAACUAAGGUUUCGAUAUGAAGAAACUUUCCAACAUUUGGUAAUUUCUCCUAUUGCAUUAUUAGCUGAAUUCUGAUAGAAGUUUUGAUUGCUUGACCAGAAAGUUAGGCGUGAUUCAUAUACUUCAGCACUAUAUUGAGAACCAUAUCACUAAGGCUAUGUUGAAAGUUAUAUGGUGGGAAUGUCUGGGUCAGAUUUAGGUAAAGCAAUUAGGUUUGUACCCGAACGAUGUACUGGCGUGUUUAUAAUAAUUUAAUUAUGUUAUACAACAUGCAAUUGAAAAACUAAAAUAAUAAUUAUUCUUUACCAUUCAAUAAUGAUUUAAAAUUUAAAGAGUAGAGAAAAUAAAUACUUUACAUAAUAUGUGCCAAAAAAAGAUUACUGAAAAAAAUAAUCAAAGAGAAAUAAAAGAAUGUGUAAAGUAACAGGAGAGCUAAUGAUUAUUUGGAGGAUAAUUCUAAAAGAAAAGGAGAAAGAUACUUUUAUCGCUGAAGCAUUUUACAUGUAAAAUAACAUCUGUUUUUGAAAUUUGUAUACUCAUAGCAGAAAUCUAGUCUAAAUUGAGAUAGCAUAUUAAAGUUAUUUGAUCCAAAUAUAUUAAUGUUGUUUAAAAUAUAUUUUUAUCUUAUUUUAGUAUUUCUUUAUAAACUUUUUUACUUUAAUUUCCUUUUAGAUUCAAAAUAGGAUCAAAUUAUAUCUAGUCUUAUCUAAUCUAUAUAUCCUACAAAUUUAAGUCUAAUUUAAGAAUAUAUUAAGAUGUUCUUAUUUUAUAGAUUUAAAAUUGGAUUGAUUUGAAAUUUUGAUUUUUCUAAGGAAUUUUCUGCAAGGAUGGUGACCUAGCUUCACAAAAUCACUUGAGAAUGUGAAGAACUGACACUGUUAUAAUGAUAUAGUUAUGUUCUACAGUAUGCAGUUGAAACCCUAAUAUAUUAAUUAUUCUUUUUACCAAAUGAAUAAUGAUUUGAAAGCAGAGAAAAAAUAGAAAAAAUAAAUAGUUUACAUCAUAUGUAGUCAAAGAAAGAUGAUUGCUGCAAAAAAAUGAUUGGAGAGAAACAGAAAAAAAUAUGAAGUAAAAAGAGAGUUGAUAAUUAUUAGGAGGAGAACUAUAAAAGGAAAAGAGAAACAUAUUUGAUUGCUGAAGAAAGCUGUAUUCUUUUUAAUGUAAAAUAACAUCUGUUGUUUGGAGUUUAUAUAAUAAUAGCUGAAAUCUAGUUCAAGAUUUAUAUAUUCAACCUGAAAUCUAGUCUAUAUAGAGAAAGAAUAUUAAAUUUAUUUGAUCCAAAUAAAUUUGUCUUGGUUAAAACACAUUUGUAUCUUAUUUUAGUAAUUCUCUGUAAUCUUAUUUACUAUAAUUUAAUUCUUAUUUAGAGUCAAAAUAUGAUCAAAUGAUAAUCUAGUUUUAUCCAGUCUAGUUUGAAUUUGAAUAACAUACUAGGAUAUCUUUAUCUUAUAGAUUUAAUUCCAAUUUAAAUGAAAUACUAAGAUAAUCCCAUCUUGUAAAUUUUAAGUUGGAAUUAUUAUAAAUUUCAAUAUUCUAAGGGGGUUUUUUUGCAAGGGUCAUGGCGUCGCUUCAAGAAAUCAGCCAAAAUUUUCUAGUUUUCUAAAUAUAAUAUUGAUAGCUUUAUGUCAAGGAUUUAAGUACUGUGGCACAGGGUCGUGCCGAAAACUUGUGGGCACGGUACGUGCCGGGCCGUGCCAAUGUGUGCCGCUCACAAAAAAAUCAUGUGUGCCGACACAUAAUAGCAUGAAAUAUUUAUUUUCUUUAGCAACAAAAUAUUCUAAUUAUUUAUUAUGUAUUUUUAUCAAAUCUUUUGAAUUUUAUUGAGAAUAUUACUUACUAAUUUAAAAAGUAGAUAAUUUUGAGCUAUGCCGUCAGCAUGGGGGCUAUAUCGUGCCGAUAUCUUGUUGGACGAUACGGCACGGUAGAUACGGCUCGUGUCGAUGGGUACUUAAAUCCUUGCUUUAUGUAAAGCAGCGUCACACGUGGACCAUGUAUUCAAAUAGUCCACAUGUGUCGAUUCACUGACUGUAUAUAUUUUGACUUGAAAAUUCUUACCACAAUUGUAUUUUGAGCAAAUAGGUCUUUGGUCCUGUUCGUUUUGAGUUUUAUGGCUUCAUUAGAAAUGGUGGAAAUAGAACUUUUAUUAGCUUACUGUCAUACAAUUUUUCAACCUGAAAAACAAGACAUUAGCACGUUCAUCAGGAGGCUACUAGUAUCAUUGCUGCCGGCAAUUGAGAAAUAAUUUUGCUUGCUCUUUUGCUCCCACAAUGUUGAUCCCAUUACACAUGGCCAGAAAUAUAAAAAAAAGGCAAAUCCCCUUCUUGGCUGAAAAGAUGUUCUCAAUGUAGCAGGUAGGAAAUCAUUUCAGUGGUGAGAGCUGAUGGUGUUCCAUACACCUGGAAAUGGGGUAAUGAAGGAGCAUGCUCUCUAUUGGGGCUAAUACAGGAAGAGCAAUAGAGUUUGUUGAGAGAGUGAAUUGUUGAGCUUGCUUACUAGGCUUUUGCUUUACUAGAGAGAACUGCACUUUUAUCGGGCCAAUAAUUUUACUAACAAAAUGCGAUGACUAGAACUACUUUGUGAUAACUUUUGAGUCACUAGAGAGGAAAAGAUCAAGAUUCAAGAUGAAGAUCGUUGUGAUAGACUUGGUGAAGAAAUUUAAUAAAAGUUUACACUGUCUGGUAGUGUAAAGAAAACCUUUGUUUUGAAAUUUAUAUCAAAUAUGGUUGGCAGAUCUUUUAAAUGGUAUAUGUUAAGAAACAUUUGAUGUUGUAAUAAAUUAAAUCAUCAUGUUACUGUGCUUAAUAUUAUACAGUGGAUCUUGUGUUUGGUGUAAUAUCAUCAUAUUAUACCAACAAAGGAUGUGUUGGACUAGAUAUUGUCAAUAAAUAUGCUCAGUGUGCUUGAUUGUUUAGGCUUCUUGAUUUCAUAUACAAGAAAAUAAUUUCUCUCACACUUUCAACAUUCUUAUAAAACCCAUGAUCAAGGAUUUGUACCACCGACAUCAGGUGUGCUGAUGUGCUAUUGGUGCGGUACGGCAUGCUUCCUUACCAAUGGCAUGUCGACACAAUGUGCCAGUGGCACACUGCAGCACACGACUCGCACAUUGCGUGCUAGUGGCAUAUAGCUGCACAUAACUAGAACACUGUAUUCCAGUGUUGGCAUGCAAUUGUGUGGCCCAUGUUGGCACCACCCUGGCAUGGUAUCGCAUGGUUGGCACUGGCAAUCCUUGUGGGCCAUGGUGAUGUGUCUAACUGGAGAUAGAAACAAUAGACUGUAAGAGGAUACUAUCCAUGACAUGUCAAUUCCCUAUAGUAGACUACUGGUUACAUAGUACAAUCAAGUAAAUUAUUACUUGAUUGUAAAUUGUAACAUAACACAACAUAGUAAUAUCAACAAAGAGUUACAUCGGUGUGGUUCUCUAGGCUUGUCUAUAUAUUUAAGUCUUAGACAUUUGAUGACGUUCUCAGGAUUUCAUACUCAUAUCUAUUAGGGCCCGUUUGGUUCGCGUUAUGUAGCAUUAUUGGUCAUCACAACAUAACUAGUAAUUUGAUAUCUCUGAUUCAGACUAGUACUAAUGUUGCAUUACUCUGUUUUGUUUAGUGCAGUAGUGUAAUGAUGGAUUGUUGAGCAUGUAAGAUUAUUUUGUUUGUUUUAUCUUAUAUAUUUUAGUAAUCCUGAUAGUAAAGUAUAUACUAUUCCAAAAAUACUCUUACACAUAUUUAUUUCAAAUUUGAAUAUAAACUUUGAAUCUAAGUUUAAAUUAAUUUAAAUCGGUCAAAUCGUAAAUUCAAAUUAUGAUUUUGAGUUUGAAUUUUAAAUUCAAAUUUUGAUUUUGAAUUUGAAUUUGAAUUCAAAUUCAAAAAUUAAAUUUCAAUUAUAAAUUUAAAUUCAGAUUUUAAAUUAAAAUUAAAAUUAAAAUUAAAAUUAAAAUCUAAAAUCUGAAUUUAGAAUUAAAAUUUGAAUAUUAAUUAUAUUAAAAUUUUCAAUUUGAAGUUCAAAUUCAAAUUUUGAUAGUGAAUUCAAAAUUUAUAUUAAAAUUCUAAUUUUGGAUCAAAAUUCAAAUUAAGUUUUUGAAUUUAAAUUUAAUUUUUGGAUAAUACAAAUUUUAAAUUCAAAUUCACUCAAAUUCUAAAUUUGAAUUCAAAUUAUGAAUUCAUAUCUCAUUUUUAGUUUAGAUUUUUGAGUUCAAAUUUUAAAUUCAAAUUCAAAUUUUCUAUUCAAAUUCAAAUUUUAAUUCAAAUUUCAAAUUAUAUUAAAUUGAAAACUUAAAUUUGAAAUUUAGCUUCAAAUUUAAAUUGAAUCAAAAUUCUAACUCGAACUCAGAUUAAAACUUAAAUUUUGAACUCAAACUUAAACAUUUUAAUUAGAUGAGAAACAGAAAAGUAAAUUUAUUUUAGAUUUAAAUUUGAGGCAAUUGGGGGUGACAAGGGGUAAUUUUGUUAUUUUGUGUAAGUUGCAGGAUAACCUGCAGUCAGUAAAGUAAGAUACUCACCCCCUUCCCUGAUAAUUUUUCUUUUUGUGUUAUCUCGCGCUAUUAAUAAUGCGGCAUUACCAACCGGAUUACGUACGGGAUGAACCAAAUACAGUAAUCUGAAAAGAUUUCUGCGGGAUGCCCUGUAAUCUUCCUUAACAAGAGAACGUGAACCAAACAGGCCCUUAAGUGCUUUCAGGGUGAAACUCAUUGUGUUCUCCUUCCAUUGACAGUUUGACACUUAAUGCUGCUUUGUAAUUUUGCAUUUUAUCAUACUUAUUGUAAUAAAUAACUUUAGAUCAUAGCCUUGAGUCCCUCUGCAAUUUAAUGUAGCAUACUAGUAUUAUGAAGUUCCUCUAGAAGUGAUUAACCAUGGAUAACUUUGCUGCCCAUGCCAAGCACCAUGCCAGUGAAAACUCAGCGCUCCCUUCUUGAUACUCCCUUGGCAACAGGCCCAAAUCUCUAUCUUCUCUGUUUUUUCAGUUUGAUGAGAUUGCUAUGGUUCUAGCUUAUGAUCUUAUGUUUUACCAAUAAUCUUGGGUAAAAAAUUGUUUUGAAGGUGAGAAAAAAUAAAGUACUUGAAAUUGUACUACUAGCAUCUAGAAACUUGCCUGUGGCUCACUAAGCGAGCUGUGGCACAUGCCCCUCAAUGAACUCUCCAUGCCACGAUAAGUUAAUUUUGUAAUGGACUAAAAUGCCAAUGUCAUUAUCGUUGUGUCAGUGAAGCUAUAAAUAAAAAAAAUAUCAUGUAUUAUUUUCCUAGAUUUUUUUUUUCAUUUUUAAAAUGGUAGGCUUGACUUUCUCACACCUUUUUGGUAGGAGUACAUAAAAAUUUUAUAGUAUUAUCAGUGUUUGUUCGGCUGCUGAUUCUGAUUUUGCUGUCUGUUGCUUCUACUUUGCAGAUAUACUACUUGGAGAUCUGCUUGUUGCAGAGAAUUUACCUCUUGAAUCAGAUAUUAGUUCAUCUAUGUACAACAUUGAUAAAGUUCCAUCUGCGAUCAAUGACAAGGAUAGUCGAGGUGUUAAUUCUGCUUCUCCAUCAGUUCAACAUUCUGGAGAAAGAAGAUCAGGGACGGCAUCUUCUGCUAGUUUGAGGUUUUAUACCUUUGCCACUUCUGUUAUCCAUUUAUGGUCAUUAAAUUAGUUUCUUCUUAAUAAGUUCCAUAGAUCUUGACCAAUCGGUUCAUUUAUACCAGUUCGGAUCAACAAUCUAUUGACAUGCUGACUCGGGCCUCUGCUGCCGAAGCUGAAGCUGUUAGUGCUGUUUGGAGAGCUGCAAGGGAAGCGUCUACAGGUUCCACAGAAGAAAGCCUUUCAGAUGAAAAAGAAUCUGAGUCUCAAUUAAAUGAUAAUUUACCGCUCUCUGAUGACUCAGAUGCUACUGAUUCCCUUGAACCAGGUGUUCGUUUGCACCCUCGAGCGGUAGAUUCUCUAAUCUCAACUUAACUUUCUUUCAAUUUUUCUGGAAGGAAGCUUUUAAUAUAUAUCCCUGCACAAUAAGCUAUUAGAUUUGUACCCUUCUGAAAUCUUUAGGUUUUGUUUAUUCCUCAAAAGUGUUGAGCUAAUGGUUUUGUGCUAGAGAAAAGAUAUUUGGAGAGAGGUAUUUCUUUAAACAAGUGUAAAUAUGUAACAAAUUAUGUCUAUGAAGGCAUAUAUGAAAAUUAAGAUUGUGUAGGGGGAUACACACACACACACACACACACACACACACACACACGUGCUCUCUCCUAAAAAGUUGGGUUUUGUAAGAUUCUAAUAUUUCAGGUAGUGGUUGCAAAAGAAGCUGUUGGAAACUUGGGAGGAUUGGUUCGUCAGCUUUCAUUGGAUCAGUUUGAGAAUGAGAGUAGAAGAAUGCAUCCUUCAAAUGGAGAUCAGGCAUAUCCACCCAAGAAGUUCUUAAAUAGACAGAGAUCUCCUCAAGGUUUGCAUAAGAAGGUACGUAUUGUCUAUGAAUUUGAUGUGUUUCAAAAUAAGAUGAAACUGUUUUAACUGGUUUUUUUUUUUUUACAGGUUAUUUCUUUCCUUCUCAAGCCAAGGAACUGGAAAGCUCCUGCUAAUAGGAGUUUUUUCCUUGAUUCAUAUGAAGUUGGCGAGCUCUGCCAUGCUGCUGAGCAGAUAUUUAUGCAUGAGCCGACUGUUUUGCAAUUGAAAGCUCCGGUUAAGGUAUUUGGUGAUCUUCAUGGGCAGUUUGGGGACCUAAUGCGUUUGUUUGAUGAGUAUGGUUUUCCCUCAACAGCUGGAGACAUAACGUAAGUCCAAUUUGGAAAUCCUGUAAUUAUUCUAAGUCCACAUGAGAGUUCAAAUAAUUUGGAAAAUUGAACCUACAAUUUUUUUUUUAGUUUUUCCUGAUAACUGGUAUAUGCGCAUCGUUGCUGGUGAUUUAUGUUGUCUUAGGAGCCUUUCUCUUGAGCAAACUAUUCGCAAAACAAUAUUUAGUUUGUACUAUGAAAAAUAGCCCUUGUCUAUCUAGGAACAUGUCUGACUCCAUAGUUACAAAAGAUUUUGUGAUUUAUACAUUACAGAACACACUGUCAAGUUUCCUGCAGUUUGAUAUGUUUAUAAUAUGCUAAAACUCCACAAACAUGGUUCAAUGAAUAAACUAUUCAGGCCCAAUCUUGUUUGUGAGGAGCUUCACAAAGAAAGUUGAGACUACCAUUCCACCAUUGGGGAUUCUGACCUAUUUCGUAGUGUUCAAUUCGUUCUUUCAGACAUCUCUAGAAAUUCUUAACUAACCAUUUAAACCUUGAAAGAAGAAUUACAUUCUAAUUUCACGUGGUCUGAAGGUUAGCUGAAAACUGAAAGCAUCCAGUCAGUCACAACUGAUUUAAAAACAAUCUUUUUGCGUACAAGAAAUGUGAAAGACCUAGAGUAAAUUACUUAACUGAUAUAUAGAGUAGGGUUAUUGCGCUAUUAGGAGCAUAACAAUCCUUGUGUUUCUAACUUCCUAACCAUCCAUCAAUUUUGAUGGAUGAUUAAGAUGAGUGAGGGAAGAAAUUGGAGUUAUGAAAGUUAUCACAUCUAGUUCAGAUUGCCUCGGCUAGCAACUAAAUCUUCGGCAUAGUAGCUUUUGUUGAACCAUCGUGUCUCAGAAGGCACGAUAGCUAUCAUAUGGUCGGUUUGAGAUAUCUUGAUCCAACCGUAUGAUAGCCAUCGUGCCUCCGGAGGCACGAUGGCUAUCAUACGGUUGGAUCAAGAUAUCUCAAACCGACCAUAUGAUAGCUAUCGUGCCUUCUGAGACACGAUGGUUCAACAAAAGCUACUAUGCCGAAGAUUUAGUUGCUAGCCGAGGCAAUCUGAACUAGAUGUGAUAACUUUCAUAAACCUUUGAUUUAUGAAAGUUAUCACAUCUAGUUCAGAUUGCCUCGGCUAGCAACUAAAUCUUCGGCAUAGUAGCUUUUGUUGAACCAUCGUGUCUCAGAAGGCACGAUAGCUAUCAUAAGAUCGAGUUGAUAUAUAUAUAUAUAUAGUCCUCAUCGCGAUUUUAUCGGGAACACGAGGAUUGAAGGAUUGAUAGGUAGUUAAAACUACCCACCAAUCCUAUUCUCUCUCUUCUUUUUAACCUUUCUUAACCCACAGAAUUAAAGAGAAGAGAAACUUAAAGANNNNNNNNNNNNNNNNNNNNNNNNNAAAAUAUUUUUAAAGUAGUCUAAACCUAACAAAAUGUGGCAAUUUAAGUGUUUGCGUAUUGUACAUGGUAAUUUUAACAGUUAAAACUCUGGAAAACUAGUGAUCGGUUUAUUACAGCUUUUUAAUACUUUAAAUCAAAGGUUUAUAAAAAUUAUCACAUCUAGUUCAGAUUGUCUAGGCUAGCAGCUAAACCUUCGGCGUAGUAACUUUUGUUGAACCAUCGUGCCUCCGGAGGCACGAUGGCUAUCAUAUGGUCGGAUCGAGUAUAUAUAUAUAUAUAUAUAUAUAUAUCUCUCUCUCUCUCUCUCUCUCUCUCUCUCUCUCUCUCUCUCAACUCGAUCUUAUGAUAGCUAUCGUUUGCCUGAGGCAACGGUGGGUAAAGAAAAGCUACUAUCUCGGAGGUUUAGCUGCUAGCCGUGGCAACUUGUACUAGAUAUGGUGAACUUCACACAUCUUUAGUUUAAAGUAUGUAAAAGCUAUAACAAGAUAAUAGGUAGCUCAUCUGUGUUUUUACUUGCCGACUUUUAUUUAUAAGAAAUUUUUUACUACUAUCCUCAGAACAUUAGCUCUAGUUCUCAUAUCUAGAACAAAAUUUAUCAAAUUUCUUAAAAGAUUGUUUUUAAGUUAACUAAACCUAUAGAAAUGCGGCAAUUUGCUCUUUUGCGGAGUAUAGCUGGUAAUUUUAAUGUUUAAAACAUUAGGAAACUAGUAAUCCGUUUACUACAGCUUUUCUAAAGUUUAAACUAAAGAUUUGUGAAGUUCACCAUAUCUAGUACAAGUUGCCACAGCUAGCAGCUAAACCUCCGAGAUAGUAGCUUUUGUUUAUCCACCGUUGCCUCGGGCAAACGAUAGCUAUCAUAAGAUCGAGUUGAUAUAUAUAUAUAUAUAUAUAUAUAUAUAUAUAUAUAAUUUGUAUACAAACUAGAUGAAAAAUUAAUAUUAUGUAUGUAUACCGGUUUCUUUUAUGAUCUAUUUUCUCUCUAGUUUGGGUAAAAUCACUAUAAGAGGUAUAAAUGAACCUACGAGGAUUCUCUACCAAGGAUUAGAGACAUCUCGUAAUUCUUUGGGAUUUUUGCUUCAAAAUUGAUUCAAUCUUGGAAAUUUAGAGAGUAAACUUUUUAUAGGGAUUUUUAUUUAAGAUUUUUUAAGUUGAGUGGAGAAGAGGAGCUUUAUUCUAUUUACACCCAAUUCUAUCAAUGGAAGAGAGAGGAUCUCAAAAAGGAACUACGAAAACUAGAGUAGAUUCGGAUGUUACUCUACCUAGAUUCUCUAGGUUGUUAUCCCAACUCGAUCCCAAAGAAAGGAAAAUCUCUCUCUUUCUCCUCUCUCACUCUCUCCCUUUACUCUCACCCACUCCCCAACCGAUACUUCCCCUACAUAUAACUCCAUAGUAUAAACGUUGAUUUGUGAUUGGGAGUUUAUUAAGUAUUAGAGUUGGUCGGUUUUAGAAUACAAACGUCUCAACACAUGCCUAUACUCCCAAAGUCAUGACUAUGUGGUGAGUCUACAAAGCUAUAAAACCCGAUCGAGGUGUCCUGGGCUUGUAACCUAAAGAGACGAAAGAUAACAUAUAGCCAUAAGUGGAUAAAGUCAUAACCAUGGAUCAUGAAUCUUAACAAUGAAUCUUUUCAAGACGGUUUGUGGUAACUCUAAUAGAUUUAUCAAAGAUAAUAAUAAAGAGUGAUUUUGUGGCGAUAAACGUUUUCAAAUUACGUAAUGUAGCAGGGAAGGAUUAUUCCUCAAAGUAAGCGCUUUGAACUUUAAAGUAUGGAGUUCUCCUGAGAGAUUUAUUUAUUCUCUUUACUAGGAAUUAGCACGAAAGCUCGAGGGUUUUCCGAAGUGUGAGGAGUACCAACGAGGUGUUGUGAAACUGUAUACCCUACCAUAUCAAGGCGUUGCAGAAGAGAACAACCCGUUCCUACGAUUAGCCCAAGAGCAGUAUCGAGUUUAGGAGGAUAUUGAUAUCAUCGUCAUCGAUUACUUCACGCACCCUAGCCCAUGUAUGAACGUCACACCUCUAUACACCUUAUACAACACAUGAGGGUGUAUCGAACCCCCCAUCGUAUUAGAUCAUGCGGUGCCCCGGUAAAGGGAGGUUGUGGACCUUUCCAGGUUUCAUCGUUCCUGGAAAGAAUGAAAAGAAAAGAGAUUUUAAAUAAGAGCGUGGGUUUACGAAGCGGGAGAACAUCCUCUCUGGAAGUUCUUGUGUAUCGGGAGCUACGAUUUGAAAUUCAGCGCAGUUACGAACAGUCUCAUCGAAAAAACGACUGAAACACGACAGUUGUUGGAAACUGCACGUUACACUUGAAAGAAAAGUCGGAGAACGUGAUACAGACCCGUGUUCCAUCAAAAGAGUGGUUGGAGUGAGAUUACGUUACGUUUGGUCCUAAAGGAAGAUUUGUUGUGAAGUAUACCACGAUAGGAUUACGAGUAAACCUUCGAUAAUAAUCUCCGUUUUAAACAGUAAUCGUUUAUAAUAACGAUAGAUCAAAGCAUCAGAUCCUGUAUGCGGAUCUUGUUUGGGAGCUCCUAGAUUAAACAAAAGAGUUUAACGGGUAGUGAGACUCCUACUAUUCGUUACGACUUUAGUUCCGUACAGGGUUCCUAGAACACAUCUGAGAAGGUUUUGAUACUAUGUUUAGUUCCUAGAGUUAGGUUCUGUUAACUAUGGCCGUGAGAUAUCUCCACGUAUAGGAGUAGCUACAUUUAGGCACGGUUGAACCGUGAACUGGUUGACUACACCUAACCAUCUUUUAUUCGGUUGGAUCAGUUGACUAGAUGAUGGUGGGUUUAAUGUAGCUCCAAACGAACGCUAGUUCCAUUCGGGUGCCAUUUCAAGUACCGCUAAAAGAGGGUGAAGGUAUAACAGUGCGGGACGGGGCAUCGUGUCGCCUCCGGUACGCCCGUGCACGUGUCUGGCGGCUUGCCUGUUUCAAAUGGGAUAAACUAGUUCUGCGUUGUUUUAGUUAUGUAACUAAAGUGGGCCCUUUUUUUUGUGGUAUAUUAAAACGUGCUCCCGUAUAGGCUUCACUCUCAAUUUCAGAUUGAUAAUGUUGUAAGUUAGUAGGUUUUCCUAUGUAUGUAAAUGGUAGAAGAUAAUGUAAUAAGAUAUGUAAGGUGUUACCGAAAAUGUUAGAGAAGAAUAUCAUGUGUUCCCAUUUGAUGUAUCCCAUUGGAACGAUAGAUACCGCGGUGCGGGUGUGCAACCAGACCACGACGAGAUAAGUCCCAACUGAGACGUUUUAUCCUUACACUCUUGAUUUUUUUCAAAAGUCACCCGGGUCGACGGCUGGAUCGGCUGAAAGGGUGAUCCAGAUUAGUCCGUAUUUAUCUAUGUUCUUGUUCAUUAUUACGUUGAUGUAGCUCGUACAUAUCCUUACUUUCGUUGGUGAUGAUACGGAAAUGUUAUUACACCUUACUUAAAGUAACAGAUUCUACAAGUUGUCACGAGAAAUGAAUGAGAGCUGGGUUAAGUAAGAGCUGGAUUAGUCCCCGAAGGUGUUCUGGUUCGGGUCGAGUGUCGAGAGUCGGUGCUCCCUGAUCGAGAUGGCGAGGGGUGGAACCCGACGAGUGUUUCCAUCGUACUAGCAGGGCAGUGGGUUGUACACUGAGGUGAUACGAGUGAGAGAUGUGUACUACGUUGUUAUGUUUUAUCGUGUUUUAUGUUCAGAUAGAUAUGGGUACUAUGUAGUACGUUAGUCACGAUCGAUGACACUGUAAUAUUAUAGUUGUACCAGUUUAAGAGUGGUGUACGUGUGUAUACCUUAUGGUUUACGAAUUGCAAUUAGAUAGAAAAACGAAAUUGGGUUAACGUGGUGUUGAGUGAAGUGGUUUAGUGCACCCCAUCUCCAAAAAGUGAGGGCUCGGUGGUGGUACUAGCAAACGGUAUCUCCGUGGCAGCACUGGAAACGGAUAAAUACACACUGUGAGACCUUGAGUGCCGAACCCUCAGCGCUAGAGGUGUUCGGUUGUUGUUUGAUACACUCAUACGAAAGAGGCUGGUUAGGCACCUGGUUGGUGGAUGGUCACCCUUGUUGCUGGAAUACAGUACGUUAUGAGUUGUUACCGCUCCGUGGGUUACGGUGUGAUGUUCACGUUACUGGGUUAGAGAGAAACCGCGAGUUCCAAGUUUGUUGAGUACGGUGAUUGGUACCACUGUUGUUGUUGCAGUUCUCUAGAUAAAGUUAGAGAUCGUACCAGGUCUCUUAUAGAAAGUUAGGGAGUGUACGAGUUGUUAUAGUUUCGUGAUCAACAGUGCAAUGUGAACGUGGCUGGGUUUAAAAGAGGUGAAUAUGAUCUCUAAGGUGAGUUAAUACAGUGCGCGUAGUUAUCUUACAUGUUUGUAGUGUGAUACACCUGUAUUCAUUUAUACGUUACGAAAUAUUAUGUACUUUAUAUCGUUGUGUAAACCGUGUACGUUACUGGGUUAAGGUAUAAAUGUGAACCCUGAGAGAGCAGUACGGUACAAGAAAAGUACGUAUUGUUAGGUAUGGGUUAGGUAAUGAGAUAGUGAUUUAAAUGUAAGUUGUAGUAUUACCGUAGAUCAUAGAGCGAAAUAAGGUUAUAGAUGUGAAACAAAAGAUAUAGGUUUGGUGAUCAAAAGAGUUGAUCAAGUUAUGGAGUAAUCCCAAGUACACAGUGAUUCAAGUACGUAAGAUUUAAGGUUCAAGAGUUAGUGUUAGCAAGAAUAUAUAGUAACCUGUACGUUCAAAGACCUUAUUCUUAAUUAACUUGGGAUAAUGUAUGUUAAAUAAGUGUAUGUGUAUGUAAGUUCCUUACCCUAAAUUUGUAUCCCUCUUUAGGUUGGUAAAGCCUCUCGUGGUGGGUGGAACCAAUUAAUGAUUAACGAUCCUAAAGGUUGUUAAACUAAAAGCUACGACUAAGCGGAGGUGGGUUCGGAUUUCUUACUUUGAACCGUUUAAGAGGAUUAACCUAGAGCAUUGGAGUAGCACUAGGUUUAGUUUCAACAAGAGAUACAGCUUGAUGGAAAGUUAAUCUCUAAAUAUUCCAGUUUUAUAAAAAUUUGGGAAAAUUUAGGGUUUAGGGGAAAAACUGGGUCCCAAAGGUUCUUAGGUUCUUUUUGGAUUAAAGAGAACGAUGAGAGGUGGUUAACAUCGAAUCUAAUCAGAUCCCAAGUAGUUUUAGGGUAAAUGUUCCAGAUUUAGGUUUGGGAUUACAGUUUGACGUAUUCAAAUGGAGUUUAAGUUCGAGUUGAUCGAGUUGAAUCGUGGUUCUCCGAACGAGGUUCGAACUAAAGGUGUUCGGGGGCACCAACCUUCUUCUACCUCUUUUCCUCCUCUCUCUAGGAGAGAGAAAGAGAAAGGAACGCACACACGCACACACACCCCGAUUGUCUCUUUUUCCCUUUUACCAGAGAAAUAUAUUCGGGGGUGGUACUUUAAUAGUUUUAUGGGUAAUUGUGACAUAAGACAUCUUGACGCAUAGCCAUGAGCCCGUAAAUCAAGAUUAUUGGGCAGUGGUCAAGGAGUUUUGGGCUUAUAUGACAGUGCGGGGCCCUGGGCCGUAUCCGGGCGGGCCACGCGCGGGUCUGGGCGGUAUACAGAUGUGUAUAUUCCGCAGACGUGUUUACGCUUUCUCAUUUCGUACUCUUCUAGAUGUUGAUCUUUUUUUUUCACUAUUUAGAGUAAGAUCAGUACCUCUGAUUUUAAAUUCAAGUCUUUUAUCAUCAUUUUUUAUGAAAUUUUUAUUUUCUGCCGUUCAUUUUUAGACUACUCGUUUGAUAGGUAAAUAAUACCGAAAAAUUAUGAAAUUUAGUUUCCAAAUACUUUUAAUAGUGUAGAUCAAAUUUAAUGGAGCCGAUCAUUGAUUUGGAAGCCGCAUCAUUGAAAACAACUUGGUAGCACGGAGAUCUCCGUGCUACCGAUAGUAUACCAGCAUAGCUCUAUAUAUAUAUAUAUUUAUGCAUUAUGUAUAGUCUUGUUCCAAAAUUGUAGCUUAAUUUUGUUUUGGGUCAAUAUAAGCAAAUUAAAAUUCCAUGUUUCAAUUUGAUAGCUUGUUCAAACCGUGUUCUGUGUUACGAUUGGUGCCAGUAGUGGACAUGGUUGUUAAGAAAGCUAGUUUAAAAACAGCACUAUUAUUGGAAGUAGGGGUCCUAAUCCAGAUCAAAACUUGUUGAGACAAACUAAUCAAUCCGAUCCAGACCCGAUCAACUUGAGCUAAUGAGCAUGUGGGUUGGGUUUGGUAAAGCUUGUAUUUUGUGAAGUGGGUUAUGUUCAAAUUGCUACUGGGUCAAGCUAGAUUUAUUGGUCUAGUUAGACCUACUUCAACCAGGAUUAAACUCAUUUUCAAAUAAACUGGACCCAUUUCUGACCCUUAUCUGAACAUAGGGCUAUAUGUUGGGUUGGGCCACACUAGGUUCUAGUGCCAAACUGACUAUUUAGUCUUUUGGCCGAUUUUAUUUUGGGAUCAAACCAAUCUAAACUAAGCCAGCCUUAAGGGUGACACUUACCUAUGCUGUAGUGGGUAAAGAAUAGGCUUUAUUUGUUUUUGCCCUAACUCAUCCUGGACACAACUUGGGUUAGAUCUAUGUGAAACCUAAGCCCAAAGUUGGUCUUUUCAGGUUGUUGCUAAUCAGACCAGCUAGUCUUAUGAAACUCAGCGUUGAAAAGAACUGAGAGAGCUUAAUGUACUGAAGGUUUUCUGUUCUCAGUGAGUAAUUUUGACUUUGAUUUACACUAUAACCAGCUUGUUAAAUUUAUCCGUUAAUGCGAACUAAGGGUCCUCAUCAGUAGGUAAAGAAUUAUAUAGGUAUAUUUACUUUUGGAAAUUGAAAGUCAAUCUUUUUGGACUGAUGUGGAGCUAUAUCGUUCAUAUAUGCAUGUGGAAAUGUUUAUUCUGCAAAUUACUUGCUUUAUGCUUUCGGUGGUUGGUGUAUCUUCCUAUAUAAUUUUCUGUGGAUGAGCAUGGUUUUAUGUAAACGGAAUUUAAGGGUCUGAUUCAAUCUUAUUAGUUAACAGUGAUCAUUUUGUUCCUGCCUGGGCCAGUAGGACUGACGAAUUCUAUCUGCUUAGUUCCUUAUACUAUUUUGAGUUGCAAACUCUAUCAGUCACCUUAUACUUAAGGAUGCUUAAGGAUUUUGUUGCAUGUAAAAUAUGAAAACACGGUUCUUUAGUAGCUUAAGAGUUUGGAGAACAAUGAUUGUUUCAUAUUUUUCAACAUGGUAUCAGAGCAAGAGUUCUUGAAUUUAAAUUUCGCCGGACUCCUAACAUUGUUUAAUUUUCUCCUUUUAAUUAAGUCCGUGUUUUGAGCCUAUUAAAAAGUCUUGAGCCUAGAUAUCAGGGGGAGUGUUGAAUAUAAAAUAUAAAAAAUAUCUUUCUCUGACAGCUUAAGCUUUUUGAGAAUAAUGAUUGUUUCACUUAAUUUUAUAUGGUAUUAGAGUAAGAGGUUCUGAAUUCGAGUCAUGCCAGACUCCAAUUAAUUUCCUCCUAUUUAAUUGAAGUCCACGUCUUGGCCUAUCAAAAAGUGUCGAGUUUAGAUGUGAGGGGGAGUGUUGAAUAUAAAUAUUAAGAACAGCAUACUCUGGCAGCUGAAACUUUUGGAGAACAAUGGUGGUUUCACUUAAUUUAAUAGAUUUUAUUCUGCAAGUGUAAACUCAUUAUUCAUAUAAUUUUUUGUUCCAGGUAUAUAGAUUAUCUAUUUUUGGGCGACUAUGUUGACCGAGGGCAACACAGCUUAGAAACUAUCGCUUUGCUCCUUGCUCUUAAAGUAAGUUUCUGUUCUACAUCUUGUUCCCAUGCCCAGAUAUUACACACCGAAAAAAGGACUUGAGAAAUACUUUGAGCCAAAAUCCUUUUUAAAAUUGACAAUAUGGCAUUUAAAUUAAUGAUCUACACUGUUGGAUAUGAUCUGGACUGUUUAAAGUAAUCGAAAACCAACAUUAUUGUUUUCGGAUGCUUUUCUAUGCAUUUUACUAUGCAUCAAGUAAUCUCGAAAUUGUCAAUUUUGAUGGUUGAUAUAAUGUGUUUAAAAAUGACACUGAUAGUUGAAUUUGUAAGCAAAUAAUUUUACACGCCUAGAUGUUGUCAAACUAAAAAAAUUUACAUGUCUAGCUCAUCCAAAUUGAAGGUGAACAACUUCAAAAUGAUGUGUAAUAGAUUCAUAAUUUCUAUAAGCAAUAACAUAUCAAAGUUUAGGCCAUCUAAGUUGAAAAUCAACACAUUUUUUAUGAUCUGAAAGCUUUACAUAAUAUAUGAAUGAAAAAGCCUUUUAACCAGCAGUGUUUGAAAAGGCGUGCCUCAGGAGUGUGCCUCAGCGUCUAGGCGCGAGGCGCGAGUCUCACCGCCUCAAGGAGUGAGGCGCAUGCCUCAGACGCGCCUCGUGAUAUUUACGUUUAAUGUGUUUAGGGUUUGGGUUUUUGGGUUUUGAGUUUCUUCAAUAUAUCCUAAAAUGUUAAGGAUUUUUCUUUAAAGAAAUUCUAAUUUGAUUGUUUCCUUUUCCUUUUCUCUUGGUCGUUCUCUUUUCCACCCCUCAAUGGCAAUAAAUAGCAGCGGCAAGAAGCAAGAAGUAGCAGCAAAUACUUUUAAGUUGAAAGUUGAAACAUAAUUUUUUUAUUUUUAGGCUAAGAACAUUUAUGCAUGCGAUUUUUUUUACUUUUUUAUGGUUAUUUUGUUUUUGUAUAACUAUUUUAGAAUUUUUUAACAUAAAACAUUCAUUUAAAAUAGGCUUGUUAAGAGUAUUUUAUUUUUAUUAGAUAUGCGCCUCGCCUUCUUGAGGCGCGCGUCUCUCGGUGCGCUUCGCGUCUAGGCUCCAUAAGCCCUUUGCGCCUUUUUGCACCUUGCAUCUUUUCAAACACUGUUAACAAGAUUUUGUUAUUUAUCUUUUGAAUGUGUACAACAAUGAAUGAAAUUUAUAAUGCAAUACAAGAUUUCGUCAAAAUUGAUGCUACAGUAUCUAAGUCACAUAUAUGUUGCUUGAAAGAUUUUGAAUAUGAUGUGUUUCUAGCUACUUUUAGUUUUGUAGGUUAGGGAGUGGAUCAUUGGCUCGGUUGGUUGAAAAAUGCUUUGAGAUUUGAUGUUUAGUGUGUGGUUGAAACCACACACCAUGUAUAUAUUGAUACUGCAAGUAGAAAAAUUAUUUUAAUGCUUCUGACCUGUCUUCAUUGAACAUGUACAGAUAGAGUAUCCUGAGAAUAUUCACUUGAUAAGAGGAAACCAUGAGGCUGCUGACAUUAACGCUCUUUUUGGUUUUCGCCUUGAAUGCAUUGAGAGAAUGGUAGGAUCCAAGGAGCUAGGUGCAUAUGCUUGUGGUUGAAUUAUUACAGGCUACUUACCGUCUCAUUUUGUAGGGAGAAAGUGAUGGAAUAUGGGCAUGGACUCGUUUUAAUCAACUUUUCAAUUAUCUUCCCCUUGCGGCUCUAAUAGAGAAGAAAAUUAUUUGUAUGCAUGGUGGCAUUGGGAGAUCCAUAAAUUCUGUCGAGCAGAUUGAGAAACUUGAGAGGCCCAUCACAAUGGAUGUUGGAUCUAUAAUCCUAAUGGACCUAUUGUGGUACUCUUUAUUCUGCUAUUCAAUGAAACAUAAUUUGUUAUUCAUCAUGCCUAUGACUUGUGUGGCCUGGACGGAGCUUCUGUAGAACUGUUGUUUGAGUAUAUAUGCUCGUCGAAGUACUACUAGUAACCAUUGCUCUAAAAUGUCUGCAGCUUCUUGCUGCCGUAAGAGUUAAAGCUUCGAAUUAUAUUUUACUUUGAAGCUUCGACUUAUAUUUUACUUUGUAUGCCCAAAAACACGACUUACCUCUUGGCGACAGCAAGAGCUCUAAAUUGAAUGCGCUUGGUUUCUGAAUUUUCUGCUUUCCGGAGUAGAGAAGCUAUUUGUGAAGCCAAGGCAAAAAUUCACUUACGGAUGCCUUUUAAUCUUCAGGUCUGAUCCUACAGAGAAUGAUAGCAUAGAAGGCUUAAGACCAAAUGCGAGGGGACCUGGCUUAGUCACUUUUGGGGUAUGGUGGUAUAUAAGUUGUAGAAUGCUUCAUAUUCUUUUUAGCAACUUCCUAGCCCAGUUGUUAAUUUUAUUGUUAAUGGUGACAGAGUUCUUUUAUACGCUUAAAUACUGCUUCUAGAAUUUCUUAUUAGAGGAUCACUUAAACAUGACACUUUAUUUUCGAAAUUCUUUCUGAAGUAAAACUUUGUUAUUGUUUAUUCUGUUAAUAUUUCUUCUUGCUUAGUUGCAUUCUUUAAUUGGCAAUAGCAUGGUUUCAUUUUUGGUUUUGGUUUAAAGACAAAUUAGGAGAUCCUUGUUCUAAUUAUUCUCUUCGCCAUGAAGUGUAACAAGAUGUUUUUAAAUAUGCUUCUCUUUUCUCUUUCUGUAAUGUGGCAGCCUGACCGUGUCACUGAUUUCUGUAAAAGAAACAAGCUUCAGCUCAUCAUAAGGGCUCAUGAAUGUGUUAUGGAUGGGUUUGAACGGUUCGCUCAUGGCCAGCUGAUAACUUUAUUUUCAGCUACUAAUUAUUGCGGUAAUGAAACUUAUUUUUCUCAUUUCUGUUGGUGAUCAUUCUCCAUUAUUACACAUUUUUUGUACUAAAUUGUGGCUUUGCAUCAGGUACUGCAAACAAUGCUGGCGCAAUUUUAGUGGUGGGUAGAGGGUUGGUUGUGGUUCCAAAGUUGAUCCAUCCACUUCCGCCACCUAUUCAAUCACCAGAGUCCUCGCCGGAGCACGUCUUGGAAGAUACUUGGAUGCAGGUGAGCAAAUCUCCCCUUGCACAUAUUAUUACUAGGGAUAAUACUAGUUUCUGAUGGGCUACUGUGGACAUAGUGUUUUCUGUAUAUCAAUAGCCAUGAUGAUCCUUUGACUUGUUCAUUGUUUGCUUUUGUAUCCUAUGAACUCUCUCCAAGGUUUAGGAGGAUCUUUCAUUAAAUAUUGAUUCCAUAUUUGCAGUUUGUAGUAAUAUAAAUGUUUUAAGUAUUAGGCGAGAUGAGAAACUCCAAUAGACUGCCCAGCAGAUAUUUUGCUGGCGGGAGGCACGCUUUGCUUCCUAGUGAAAUUCAGUACUAGGGUAUUCAACCCAAUUAUCCAUACUGCUGGCCAUCAUUUAGAUUAUUUACAGUUAUAGGUCAUAUUUCACUAACAGAGCAAGUCGUCUAAAAAUGGACAAAAUUUUCAACAAUUGAUGUUAGCUAUUUGUCUCUCGAACGCUAUAGAACAUUCCAAAACUCAUUAAAAUUUUGUGAAAUAAUAUAUCUAUCUAGAUCAAUAGUUAUAAUGUUGAUUGUCCAAUUAGGAAUCACAUCAUCUCUUUUAGUUUUUUUUCUUCUUUUUUUUUUUCUUUUUUGGAUUGAUUUGGGCUUGAUUUAUGUUGUGUCCAUUUGAUGCAAUAUAAAUUAUUUUCUGAAGAUUAGUGUGUUGUGGUUUCUGGAUAAAAACUUUAAAUACUUUAGAUCAUGUAUAAUGCUACUGAUUGUUGAUGCCUUUUCUCUCAUAUUAAUACAUUACUUUAAAUAUAAUUUCCUAGUGUCUUAAGCGGGCACAAAAUGAAAGGUGAAACUGAACCUGUAAAAAUAGAGGAUAGAAUUCUUAAUUUAAGGUCAAGUGUGUUGAUCUUGAACUGGAGGGUGAAAGAUUAUCGUCUAAUAAUAAUUCAACUUAUCUCGAUUCCUCUAUAUCAUUAAACAACAAACACCUCCUAUUGGCUGUUAAAAUUGUUAAUUUUGAGACUCCUGAUAAUUAGGUAGAUGAUGUCAAAAUAUUAUGAAAUUUUAGUUCCUCGAGACUUAAAAAACUCAAGAUCAUAUUUAGUUUGGUUGAUUCUCAAGUAGGGGGGUUAGGCUACUUUGAUAGUACUAGGAAAGUAGUGCUUUAUUUGUUAAAAGGAAAUUCCAAACAUACCAUCCUGUAUCUUCUUUCAUAAAGUGUAGUACCAUACUACCAUGGAAUUCUCACCUAAAUCUAUUACAGUCAAGCUACACUAAAUCCAUUCUCAGGAACUUAAGAAAGAGCUUAGCAUUUGAUCAUAUAGUCGAAGGCAUCUAAAUGCUUGAUUCUUGCAGGAGCUUAACAUUCAGAGGCCUCCUACUCCAACUAGAGGCAGGCCGCAAUCUGCGAACGAUCGGAGUUCUCUUGCUUAUAUAUGACCAUGACGUACGGCAAUUUUCUGUUGUAUUUUCUCCACCAGAACCUGUCUGGUUUUGUGCUCCUAUGGUACAUAACAUAUAUCUCGGCAUUCGUCUAGUGGUUAAAGUGCCUGAUUCAGCAUCGGCUUAAGUGCUUCUUGUGAUGAGAGGUAUUCAUCAAGGCAAUAUAUUAGAUAGAUCAUUUGUAACUCUAGUGUACAUGAUUAAGUUAUAAGAACUUCUUGUAACAUAUGUAAAAUCCGAGGCGCACAGCUAUAUGUGAAUCGCUUGUUGUACAUGGCAAAACAGCUGAGAUUUAUCUGGUUUUUAUUUAAAGAGAUUAGGUAAUAAAGUUCGUCUUUGCAACUUUAUACAUAUUGCCUUCUCAUUACUGUCAUGUUGUACGCUGUGAAUAAUUCAUAAAUUUACUUUUAGCUGAGCUAGUAACUGAAUGAAUGGAAUGAAAAAAAAAAAAAAAAAAAAAAAUCGUGGAUAGUGUCGGCUGAGACUCUCUUGUUGUUUACUGGAACUUGUGAAAAUGUCAGAAUUCUGGGUGAAAUUAUUUUAUGAGCUGAAAUUGUCAUCAUCUCUACCAAUAGAACUAGUGUAAGGGUAAAGGUGUUAAGAAAUGGAUAUCAUCUUUUUGAGUCAAUUUUUUUAUCGAUCUUGGUGUGAUCUCUACCCUUGAUAUGUUUUUGAUGCAUGCAGUUAUAAACUGUGGUGUAAAGCAUUGUUUUUCCGACUAUUCUUCAUGUGUAAAUUAGGUUGUAAUAUACUUGCUUAUGAGAAGUGGAUUGCAUUGCUUCCCUGCUCCUUUUUCUGCAACUCAACCUCCCUGUGGUUGGAAUAUUAGUGAUAUUCUGACAACUUAAGAUUGUUUGAUGGGAAAACUUCAAAUACCACUCAUGUGGUUUCACACUUUCUUAUUUUAGUACCUUGUGAUUUAAAGUGUAUCAAUUUAGUGCUCUGGGCUUUCAUUUUUAUUUUUUUAUUAUUGAUUUCAGUAAUUUUUUUCGUUAAAUCAGUAACAAACUUAAAACUAAAGGGUAUUAAAGUGAAUAUUUGAAAAAUUCAGGUUUGAUAAAUUUAGGUGAGGUAUUUGAAGUUUAUUGUAUAUAAUUUAACGAAAUAUUAAUGGAAAAGCUGACGAAAAGAUUAAAAUGAAACUAUAGAAUACUAACUUGAUAUACUUUAAACCACAGAGCAUUAAAGUGAGAAAGUGCGAAACUACAGGGGUGGUAUUUGAAAUUUAUCCUUGUUUGAUGGACCAUUUAUAUUUGUGCAAUGUUUGGUUCAAGUUGAAAGAUUUGCAUUUUCGUCGUACAAAAUAAUUAUUUUUGCGAAUGUUCUUUUGGUCUGAUGUGAAUUGAUUCUACUGAACUUGGUUUCCUGUGAUAAAAAAUGAGAAUGGUAAUAUCUGUAUCCUUCGAUGGAAGAUUUUUUAUUUUUUUUUAUUUUUGUCCAAAUUACAUAGAACAAACAGAAGCUUAUGUUGUCUGGUUUAACCCAGCAAGAAAAACGAACUAUUGAUGGAAAUGCGUAGGGUUCUGGGAUGCCCCAACUAUUGUAUUCUUUUCUUUCUAUGUGAUUUUUGUUUUCAUUUCUCGUUGGACGAUUCAAAACUCUUUGCUUAGCUAAAAGAUGUUCAACACUAUUGCAUCCAAGGUCAUUCGCUGCGACUCCACAGAAGAGUACGCGCGCUGCAAAAGGCAGCCAGCUUAAAAACGCUAGCUAGCUACUAGAGUAGCCUUAUUUAAACGUUUGGUUGCCUACGCUUGCUCUCCGGUGCGCUACGGCAACACCUUGACUCUCCCCUGCUUGCUUCUUUCUCUUCCACACGGAUGCUACAGCCGCUAUCACUUUGGCUGCUGGAGGGGAAUUACAGAGUUCGCCUCUCGACAUCUUGUUUGGUAAACGGGAUUUUGACCCAGGCGCCUUCAUAGUUUGGUUACAACCCAAAAAUCAAAUCAAAUCAAAUCAAUCCGAAUUUCUCUUUCGAGAGAAUGGUAGUAUGUUAUGGUUCCUUUUCAUUCGUUUUUAUGUUUUCACAGAUAAAUUUAAUCGGACAUACAAAGCAACUGAGUUUCAAAUUUGAAAUUUCGGAUAUCAACUAAUCAAGCUCUUAGUCAUUUGUGCUAGGAACGGUCGGUGAACCAAUCUGAACUUGAGUUUUGGUUUGGUUUGAUUUGGUUCUGUUUCUAAUUUAGCUAUUCUGUUUUUGAUUUUCUGUUUUCGAUUAUGAUUCGGUAUUUCAAAAUUUUCCAACCAAACUAAACCAAACAACAAUUUUUUUUGAAAUUUAUUUAGAUCUAUGCACUGCACUUCAUAAUUGAUAAUUUAUAUCCUAAAAUAAGAGUUUCAUUUAAUAUAUCUGUUCUUUGAUAUUUAGGAAGGUUGAGUUAAAAACAAUAAAAGAAAAAGAAAAGAAACAUGAGUUUUUAAAUGUACAUUACUUAAAUAUUAAGAUGCAUGAAAAAUUAAAAGUGGAGGAUGAAUUGCUGUUUGAUUCAUUAGAAAAUAGUGUUGAAAAUUUUUUUUCUUCUAACAUAUAGGUGCUUUAAGGGCUUUUUUUGCAUUUGGCUCCCUCAAAAUUUUUUUUUUCACAAAUAGUUCUAUCAAAUUUAGAAUUACGAUUUUGGCCCUAUCCCUGCUACGCAGGCUCCACAUCAGCGUCACGCAAAUGAGCUGGGGCAUUAAGUUAAGCAUGGUGAAUCAUUCACUGUAUUCAAAUACGGUGAAUGAAUGGUUGAUUAUGUUCAAUACUUAUAUUCUCCAUAUUCAAUACUAUUCACCGUGUUUGGACAUGGUGAAUGGAUUACUAUUUUCAACUUAUUCCCUUACUCACGUGACGUUUACGUGGCGACUGCAUGGUGGGAAUAGGUCCAAAAUUGUAAACAUAAAUUUGGUGGGGUUAUUUGUAAAAAUAAGUUUUUUGAGGGGGCCAAAUGUAAAAAAAGCCCGUGCUUUAAAUAUUGUAAAACACUUGUGAAGAGUUGAAUUUCGAAUUCAAAACUUAUGAAACAUUGAGUUACUGGUAGUGUUUAAUAUUUAAUUAUACACCUGGUGCAGCCAUACUUUCUCCUUCAAAUGAUAUAAUUCUAUGAUCAGUCCCUAUACUAUAUGAAUAUAGCAAGAUGGAUCUUAUAGUUUUUUCACUUAUACAGAUUGGAUUAAACUUGUGACAAACUUUACAAUCUAAUUAAAUUUAGUAACAAUUUAAUAAAAUUGGAUAUACAUCAAAUCAAAUCAACAAAUUUGAUGUGAUAAUUGACAAUUGAUUUGAAAUGAUAACUCGCUACUUAAUAGAUAAAUUAUAUUUAUAUCUGUAUCAAAUCAUUACUAAUAUAACAAGAUGUAAGGUCGUAAUUUAUGAAUAUAAAAUAAAGUUAUAUAUCUAACAAUACUUAAUUUGACAGUACAAUAAAGCCACGUGGCGAGAGGAGGAAGGCUGAUACCACGUGUCACUCUUUUAGAGAGAUGGGGCCAAAUAAAAAAAAAAAAAAAAAAACAGGCUGUAACAGCUGCAGACCCAUCUCUCCCCCGUUCCCUCCCCCUCAACCUAUCUCGAUCACCCUCUCUCUCUCUCCCUUUCUCUCUCUACCCCUCAUGCUCUCUCUCUCUCUAACUCUUGCUCUCUCUCUCUUACUGUCUGUCUCUUGCACUCUCUCUCUACCCCUCGCGCCCGUCCCUCUCCUCGCCCCCACGAUUUCUCUCUCUUCAAACCUCGGCGGCUCGGCAUGGAUUUCUCUCACUUGCCCUAAUGGCUCUAACCCUAUACCCAUCGACCCUACAGGUGAGCCCUCUCUUUGCUUCGCCUUCUAUUCUCCAGAGCUUACAGCUGAGCCCUCUUCUGUUGAUGGCUCUACCCCUAUACCUAUUGAGCCUACAGGUGAGCCCCCUCUCUACUUCCCCUUUCUAUUCUCUGGAUAUACUAUUCUCUGCUGCUGAUGGCUUGAUCCCGUAAUGUGCGGUUGUGAUGGAACCAUCUAUGUGGUGGCCCCUAACCCUAAAUCUACUUGGCCCCUAUGCCUGGCUUUUUGGGCCCUACUUCUAACCAGAGCCAAAAAAGGGCAAAAUGGGGGGCGGGGGGAGAUAUGUCAAGAUUUGGUGAUAUCAUCCCUACGCUAGCCUCCUUUAGUAUUUUUAUUUUUUUAUAUUAAAGCCUCUUCUGCUACUCUGUACUUGCUAUAACUACUAAAGGCUAUAAUGUAACACCCCGUACUUUUAAACUUCUUUAUUUGACUCCUACUCUUAUUAAGUUUGGACUUUUUCGUAAAUUCCUAUCUUCGAGGGAUUCGGCGGCAUUUUGUUACUUAAUUAGUAUCUAACUUAAUUAAUUUUCUCCCUAACCCUCACCCGAUCAAUCCCUCUUUUUCCCCUCUCCUACGACUCGCUUUUUCUCUCUUCCUCACCGCAUCCGUAUGACCUCUGUCGUUCCGCAAGUGCGCACGCGACGCCAUCCGAUCGUCGCCAUCAUCCGUAGCCGCCUCCGCCGCAAUCCUUUUUGGCCGUUAUUUUUGGUUCACUAUUGACGGCAUCCUGCCGUCAUCUUCACCAUUUUCGAGAAGGUUUUUCUCUUUUCCUUAUUUUAUCUCUAUAUCGAACCUUGUGAUCAUCCAACCUUCUUGUUUAUCGUUAUAUUAUUAUUUUGAAUAUUCGCCUCAUGAUGAUCGAAAUUUAAAACUAUCAAAAUCUGAUUUGCUUUGAUCUAAAUAUGUGUUAUUCGAUCUAUCAUUUUAUCUUGUAUUCCUAUCUGAUUUAGUUAUAUAAAUCCUCCAUAUUCUGCAUGCUUCUUGUAAUGCUCCUUAUAUGUUUGAUAAAAUGCCUAAGAGAGGGUGAACUUUGCCUUUGUUUCUAAUUCCGAUCCUAUCUGAUUGUAAAUUGCCUAUUAAUAUUUCAACAUCUGAAAACCCUCUUUUCGAGCAUUAGACCCUUCGUUUAUUAUUUAAAACUUCAUUCAUCUUAUCUUGCUUCUUUGAAUAUUUUAGUUUUUGAAACUCUCAAUUCUCUUGAUUGUUAAUUCAGUUUCUUCGAGUUCAUUAUUCUAAAUCUCUUUCGUGCUCCGUCUUGCCCUUUUGCAUGCAUCUGUAGUCGACAUUGUCGACCUAUGUGAACCUAUCCGAAUUCAAACUUUUGUAUAAGCUUGCUUUCUAAAUAUAUAUGUUCUCUUUGUAAGUUUAUUUUUAAAUAGCUUAUAGAGAAUCAUAUAUCUCUAUUUUAGGUUCUGACGAUUGAUCUCGUGCAAUUUUCGAUUGGAUAGCUUCUUAACUUAGAAGCCGCUUUUGAAGUAAACGACUGGACACCCGUUAGUUUUUCGUAAGAUAAUUUAGAAAAAUAUUUCGAUUGUAUGAAAAUUUUAUUUUGUAGAUUUUAAAAUUAAGGGUUAAGCAUAUUAUUAAAAAUUUCUGUAAAUUGAGCUUCAACUGUGAUUGACAAGUUCUUUUAGCAAAAUAAAAUUUUGAAACUUGAUAAUCUGUUUUGUAAAUUAGUGACUGGAUAAUUUUUGAAGUAUGAUGUCUCUUGGUAUUCUGCUAUGCUAAUGUUGGCCAUGUCGACAUGUAUUUUGUUAUAGAAGCGAGCUUCGUCUUUGUAUUACGCCUUCGGGUGCCUGCGCCUAUUCGCGCCUCUGCUUUGUUUGCGCCUACGGGUGCCUCUGGUUUGUACAUGCACCUUUGGUGCCUUUGUUCUGUUUGCGCCUCCGGGUGCCUCUGUUUUGUUUACGCCUUCGGGUGUCUUUGGAUCUCGCCAACAGAUCAUAUGAUAUAGUUAGGUACCGGAGACUUAAGAUCUAUUUCGUUUAUUUGCUGAAUGAGAAAUACAUUUGAAAAAAAUUAUAAUUUCAGACCAAUCUAAAUUUUUGAGUUUUGAUAAAUUCUUGUUUUCUAAAUUUUGCAAAUUAAAAACCAGUCGCUUGAAUUAAUUUUUGUAUUCGUUUAUUUAUUUGUAUUGUAUGCUUAAUCCGACUAAUGUGGUGUAUGGUUGCUUACCCAGGUACCGAGACCGAUUUGCCGGGCGGGGCUGAGACCCAGUGAACGUUAGACGUAGCUAGUUUUGAUUUUUAGUCCUUUUAGUUUUAUGCCUAGCAUAUUUAGAUGUGAAUAUUUUUUUUUGGACAUCGUAAAUGAUCGUUUGUUAUCUUUUAUUUCGUUAUUUCUUCGUACUCACCUUUGUUAAUUAUAAUAUUUAGUGGACCGAAUUUAUGGUAUUUCUUAGUAAGCUUUAGUUUUAUAGAUGUUAGAAUUCCAUUUGAUUUUAGUUAAAAUUCAAUUUCUUAGUCUCAUCCUAUGAUUCUUUGGAUUUAGUGGAAAAUUUGGUAAUCAUCUUUUUGCUAGCUUCCGUCUGAUUCUGUAGCCUUGUAUAUUUGCUAGUUUAGCAGGUAUGCGGCGUCUAUUACGCCUCGGGUUUGGGCAUGACAUAUAAAUAGCAUUCUUCCACACAAAGAUCUGAACUGUCCUCUCUCUGCAUUAUAAGGUAGAAUAUAUUUGUGGCAGGACACAUUCUACACCUCUGUUUCCUAAAACUAUAAGUACUAACUUAUUAUCCCAUGAUUUUAGGCACCUAUAUUUUUCAGUUUUGAAUUUGAAUAGCUCCAUCUCUGCAGUAUAAGGUAAAGUAUAUUUGUGGCAGCAGAUGUUUUACACCUCUACUACCUAAAUCUAUAGUACUAACUAAUCCCACAAUUUCAAGCGUUUAUAUUAUCCCCUGCUGUUAUUGACUGCAUACUGUGCUAGGUGCACCCCUCUCUCUCGCUCCCUCUCUACCCGGUUUUCAUACUGCUUAAUUCAUUUUUUCGCUUUCUUGUGGCUGAUAUGUGGAGUCAGAUUGCCUCCUCUCACCACCUGGCUUCGUUAUAUUGUCAAAUUAAGUAGGGCGUGUUCACGCCCUACGCUAAAUAUCAAGUGUUCUUUGUAUUCCUCCCCUUAUUUUAUUUGCUUUUGUAUUUUUAGCGGAUUAGUUCUUGCUCUUGAAUUUAUUAUUAUUUUUUUUAUAUCUUCAUCUUUAACGGGUUGUUUACAUUUGUUUUUUACUUUGCGUGUCCUUGGUUCCUAUCUCUGCAUUUUAAAUUUAAGGAUCUGCUAUUGUUUUUCCUGCAUUUUAUUACUUUUGUAUGUUUUUUCUUACUUACUUCUCUUUGUUUCUAAUUGGUUGUUUACAUCUAUGAAUUCUAUUUGUGAUCUACUGUUCCAUCUUCUUGAUUUGUAUCUCUUAUUUUUUAUCAGUUUGAACGUUGCUAUUGUAUUUCUUGUUUUUAUCAGCUCUCAGAUUUUCAACUUCUUUUUGUGAUGCCGACGACUCUUUAGAGCAUGUACAAUGCUAACAGGUUGGAUGGCCUGUUGUUAGGCAACCCUGUAAUGGUAUUUUUUUACACCUCGGUUUUCCUAGCUGUCUUUAUUUUCAACACCUAAUUUUAUUUUUUCUUCAAGGCAAUGAUGAACCUGGUUACAAAAAAGUGUGAACUCAGAUCUUGGCUUUGCCAUUGAAAUUGUUCACCAUUUCCUGAAAAAAAAAAGAAAAAAAGUGUUGGUUGGCUGGAGUGGAUUGGAUGGUCUAUUCAAAGGCAACCAUAUGCAACAGAUUGGACGGCCUAUACAAUUGCAACCAUCUACCGCUGUUUGUUGCCUGACUCUACUGUGUUGGGGCUUUCCAUACUCUUUUCAGUACUUUGUUCUGUCCCUGCAAGCAUUUCGGUUGGUAUUGCCUGCUCAAGUGAUGAAGGAAGUUGUUAAAAUUGGUCCAUUUCUCACACUUUACCUGAGCCUAUCUAUUUUGUAAGCUAAAUUAGUAUGUAAUGUGUUUAAUAUCUUCUGUGUUUGUGCUUUAUUGCUUUCUUGGCUCAUAUUUUGGUAUCUUCCCCUUUCCCACUUUAUGGUUUUUUGCUUUUAUUUUUGUGUUUUUUUCCCUGAUGCUGUUUUCUUUUUCACUUCUUACUCUCUUUAAUAUCAGUGCUGAUUCACUGUUCUUUUAGUAUGUUUGUUCAUAUUUUUUUUUCUGGGUUGUGUUUCACCCUUCCCUUCGUGGUUUUUCUCUUUUAAAUUCUAUGGAUAUUUUCAUUGAUUUAUUGAGACUAUGAUGAUACCUAAUAAAAAAAAAGAGGCUGUGCAGUGUCGAACUCAUGAUAGGCAAUGAUUCUUUACAAUGCAAAUGCGGUUAACUGACAGUGGUGGAUUGUAUGCCCUGAAUAAAGACAACCAUCUACUCCGGAUUUGGAUGGCCUGCCUGUUCACGCCUACCCAACUACUACUGUGGGCUUUACAUUCAGGUUUGCAUUAUUUUUUUUUUUUGCUUUGGUUUGGACCUAUCUAAGCAAUUGUGUCAUGAACACUUUAACCGCAGCGAAGCGCGGGGUUUUUCACCAGUAUGAAUAAUAUAAGAAAUGGCUCCUUGAUGGUGCCACGUGGUGUUUUUGGGUGCCCUCUCAUUUUUUAUUUAUAUCAUAUAGUUUGUAAUAAAUAAUAUUUUUUAUAUUAUGAUAUUAAUAGUUUUUAUUACUAAGAUAGAGUACACGUCAAAUUAUUAAAUUCGAUACGAUAAUUGAUAUUUGAUUUGAGGUGACAAUUCGGUAUUUACUAGAUAAAGUAUACUAAUGUAAAAAAAAUUUCAGAGAGAGAAAGAUAGUAAGCUAUCUGUUGCGUUCUUUUUUUUAAAAAAAAAAUAAACUCAGUUAAAAAUUUGAAGCAAUGAAUACCAAGUAAUAAGUUUACUGUGCUAUUUGACAAUUACUUUGAGAUGACAACUCAGUAUUUAAUAGACAAAGUAUACCAUCUAUUAAAUUAUAUGAAUCCCCAAUACUUUUUCCACGUGGCAAUUUCUCCUUCACCCUCAUCAACCUCUCUUUUGAACCGAACCGUCUCAACCUCUCUUUUGAACCGAACCGUCUCUUUUAAGCUGAACCCCAUUUCUCCUUCACCCUCAUCGACCUUUCUUUUGAACCGAACCGUCUCUUUUAUUUUGAACCGAACCGUCUCUUUUAAGUUGAACCGUCUCUCUACCGCCUCUCUAAAUAGAACCGCUUCUCUCUCUCACUUGUCAUUUUCUGAAUCGAACUGCUUCCUAUGUAACCUCCGAACCGAACCAAACCGUCUCUCUCUCCCCAUUUUGGUUUCUCAAACGGCAAUGGUGCUUCCUUUCCUUCCCAUGCGUUAUUUCCUCUUCCCCUUCAGUUACAGCAUUUUUUCCCUCUCCCCUCAUCCUCAACAUCUCCGAUCACCACAUCCGCGUCGAAGCCCAGACCCAGCACCUUUCCUCCCCGCCACGGACAGAGGCGGCGGCCCAGCACCUUUCGUCCGCCUGAGCCUCCGCCUCUGCCUCCUCCUCCACCACGACUGACAACGACGCCAACGUCGGGUGAGUUGAACUCUAACCCUAGCUCCCAACUCUUCUCCCUCGAUCUCGGCCUCCGUGUCGAAGAUUUGUGGGUUUUCAAUCCUCCUCACAUGUCAGUCUUUGCCCUAAAAAUCCUAUCAGGUGUGAUCUCUUCAUUAAUUUUUGUAUCAAUUUAUGCUUUGUUUCUUGAAUUUGUGUUCAAUCCUCCGUUUCAGUUCCUCUGUUUCUUGAUCCCUAAUUCUCUUUUAGUUGAUUUUAAGUCUUUUUAUUAUUAUUAUUAUUUUGGUUUGCAGGUGUGGGAUUGGAAACGAUUUGCGCCAUACUUUGUCGAUAUAUAUCCUUUUCUAAUUUGGGGUUCCAAUUCAUGAGGCAAUGUAUUUUCUUUCCUUUUUUUAUUUGAUUCCUUAAUUAAUGUGGCACGGUUUUAGGUUUUGGGGUUUAUGUGAUCACUAUAGUUGCAGUUCAUGUAGGUUUUUUCAAUAGGAAUGAUGGUUAAAAAAUCGUGGUGAUUGCCUAAUUAGUGGUUCUCAAGAGUCCUUUUUAAUGCAUUUGUAUAUGUUUAAAUUUGGAAAAUUCGAUAUAGAUGAGGCUGCACUGCUUAAAACUAACAUCUUGAAAUGUGGAGGUUUUGGAUUGGCUUAAAAAUUGAUAUCUUGAAAUGAUAUUCUUUUUAAAAUAGAACAUGGACUACUGAAUGGAUAAAUAAAUAUGAGUACAUCAUAGUGCUGUAACUGAGUAGGUGAGGUUGUACAAUGAUUUCGCUAUUGACUUUGACUAUCAGAAAUUCUUUUUUGCAUCAAUUAAUGCUUUUGUAAAUUUGCACUGUGAUCGGCGAUAGGCUUAAGGUUUUAAAAAGUAGUUGGAGUGCUGGAACUUUAGAACCUUUCUAUUGUGUUUGCUAUGCUUAAGUAUCUCAAGAAAUUUGUAUUUUUCUUUUCUUUUGGGUUGAUUCUUAUGAUUUCUUAUACAUAUUCUUCUUUCCCUAUAGGGUGAACUACUCGGAACUGAUUGGUAUCGUUUAGGAAUUGCGUGUUUCAUGCAUAAUAAUAUAUUUCAAUAUUUAUACUUAAAAUUAUUUUGUACUGUCCAGUUUGACGCCACAUUUUGCACUUAUAGUACUAGCAAUCAGGUGACUUUGUAGAUUGAUUGUGCCCUUCUCAAUUAGGGUUGCCUUUAGAGACAAUUAUGCUUAUUCUCAAGGAAUUUGGAUCCGCCGAUGAGUAAUUUAGUGAUUGUUGAGCUCAUCAUGAUAUUUGAUAUAGAUCUAUGAGAUAUUUUUCAUGCUUUGUUGGUUAGUUGAUCUGGUUAGUUGAUCUGUAUGUGUAGUGUUUCUGUAAGAAUUAGGAAUGGUAUGUAGUUUUAGCAGGUUCAUAUUUAGGACGAUUUGGCCUGAAGGGAGAAGAAAAUAGUUAGGGACAACCAUAAAUGAUGAGCAUUUUGAUUUAUUAAUUGAGAACGUAUGUUGAACAUAGCUUUCUCUACUUGCGUCGUCCUUCCUCCGCUCCUUCGUAGUGCGCCCGCCCGCCUUUCCCCAUCACAUCAAGCUCCUAUACGACCACACUCCUCUUAUCUAGGGUUUUGAUUAUUGUACAAUUUAGAAAUGAUUCUAAAAGAUUGAGGUUUAAUGGUUCCGAAUACAUUCCUGAGAGGUACUUGAGAUUUCUUCUUAAACAUUUUUUCUUUUGUUUAGGCUCAAUAUAUGCUUUCUGUUAUCAGAACCUACUAUGAGUUAAAAUAGCAAUUCCAAUUUUAUAGAACUCAGCAGCUAGCUAUGUUGCUUUUCUGAACCAUUCAUGAGUUUUUUUACUCCUAUGCCUUUUUGCAUUAAAAUUUUAAUUUUAAAUGUUAUUUGCACAUGAGCCAUUUUUUAGCAUAAUUUUUUUUUUGCAUAUCUCAGAUGUGACUCAUUAUAUUGUAUUUUUAUGAUUGCUAUCUAUUAUUUCUUUGCCCUAUUAUUUCUUUGCCACAUCAUCAUAUAUUGGACAAUUAUACGGAUGCUCGCAUAUAGUUUUUUUAUUUUUUUUUUCAGCUUUGAUCCAUUAAGAUAAUAAUUGCAUUGUUAUAUGUGACAUUCAUAUUCUUUGCAAUUCAAAGAGGGGAGAAAUCAAACUUGGUCAAGUAUGUGUAUUUCUCCGGCGAAAUAUUUUUUUUUUCAUAUGAAAUGUUUGUGUCCUGAUCUAUAUGACUUUUUCUUUAUUUUUAAAUAAUUUGGUGAUGCAUCAUAAGAGCAAAUCCAAAACAACAUAGAAAAGUAAUUUUAAUUUGUAAAUUAUUUGCUAAAAUAUUUUUAAAUCUUUUCUCUUUUUCUAACCUGCUUUCAGACUUAUGCCAAAACGAUUGAAACGAUGCAAAAAUGCUGAAAUGAAGAAAGUAGAAUGAAAAUAUAUUGAUUAUUUGCAAUGCUCCUUACCCGCCGCAACGUGCGGGUUCCUACACUAGUAUCUAUGAUAGAUCGUUAUUAACACAAUAAAUUUUUUUUUCACAUUUUUGAAAUUUUUUUACAUUUUAUUUUAUUUUAUUAUAAUUAAUAAUAAAUUUUUUAUUAAUGGUAUAUAUAAUAGAUAUAUUGACUCAACAAUUUUAAAUGAUAACUGAAAACUAAUUUGAAAUGACAAUUCAAAUAUAUUUCAUGAACAAUCUUUUCUUUUUUUUUUUUUGUUUCAAUUAUGUGGUAUAUGCAAUGGGGUCGAAUAUUAGAUCACUUUUAUGUUCAUUUUUGUCUUAUUGAAAUUAUGGCAUAAUUUAAGCACACCCUUUUUUUAAAUUUCCAUUUUAUAUUAUUUAAUUAAUAAUAUUCUUUAUAUUAUUUAGACAAGAUUAACACUAUAUGUCAAAUUCACAAAAUCUAUUUGACAAUUAAUAGUCGAGUUAGAGAUGACAAUACAAUAUUUAAUACAUAAAGUAUAAAUCAUUAUUAAUAAAUUUGACGCAACAUUUGAAUAUUACUUUUAGGUGACAAAUCAAUAUCUAAUUAGUAAAGUAUAUGAUCGUUAUUAAUACGACCACAUAUUUGUUUUUUUUUUUUGUUUUUAUAUUUUAUUUUAUUAGAAUUACUAAUAUUUUUUUAAAAAAAUUAAUGACGUUGUGUAUAUAUGUAUAUCUAUACCGAUUUUAAAUGAUAAUUGAAAACUGAUUUCAUAUGACAAUUCAAAUAUAUUUUAUAAACAACCAUUUUUUAAUUAUUUAGUUUCAACUAUAUAUGUGCUAUACAAAACCAAUUCAGAAUAGUAGAUCACUUUUUAGAUUCUUUUUUUUUCUUUUUAAAAUUACUGAUAUAAUUUAAGGCAUAAAAAUUUAUGAGAAUCCACUAAAUACUCAUGCAUAGGAAUGUUUAUGCAUAAAAAUAUUUUAAAUUAAUGAAUGAUUUGUAAGAUUAAUUAUAUAAUUUUAGAAAAUAUAUAAUGUAUAAAUAAUACUAUUUAAAAGAAAGAAGUGAGAUUUUAGUAGUCAAAAUCUAAAUCUUCUACGGGUAGUGUCCAUGGUUUUUUCCAUUCAAAAAAUAUUAUAUUUUUUAAUUUUAUUUUUUUUAUGCAUAUAUAUAUAUAUAUAUAUAUAUAUAUAUAUAUAUAUAUAUAUAUAUAUAUAUAUAUAGAGCUAGGCGUGUAUACUAUCAUGUAGCACGGAGGCCUCCGUGCUACCAAGUUAUUUUCAAUGAUGCGGCUUCCAAAUCGACGAUCGGCUCCGUUAGACUUGAUCUACACUAUUAAAAUAUUUGGAAAUUAAAUUUUAUAAUUUUUUCACACAUUUGUGUAGUGAUCAAAAAGGUCUCAAAAUUGACAAUUUUAAUGAUAGAUUUUAUGCGUUUGUGAAUUUAACGGUGUAAAACAAUCCAAAUGGUAUGAAAUUUUAAUAGAAAAUUCUUUUCACUAUUUAGAGUAAGAUCAGUACUCUAAUUUUAAAUUCAAGUCUUUAUCAUCAUUUUUUAUGAAAUUUUUAUUUUCAGCCGUUCAUUUUUAGACUACUUGUUGAUAGGUAAAUGAUGCCGAAAAAUUAUGAAAUUUAAUUUUCAAAUACUUUCAAUAAUAAUAGAUCAAGUCUACGGAGCCGAUCGUUGAUUUGGAAGCGCCAUCAUUGAAAACAACUUUGGUAGCACGGAGGCCUCCGUGCUACCGAUAGUUACCAGCCUAGCUCUUCUCUCUCUCUCUAUAUAUAUAUAUAGAGAGAGAGAGAGAGAGAGUGAAGCUACUAUGCUAUCGGAACCGGAGCCUUCUGUUGCUUCCAGCUCGUUUUCGAUGUUGCGACUUUCGAAUUGUCGCCCGGCUCCGUUAAACUUGAUCUAGAGUAUUUGAAGUACCUAGAAAAUAAUUUUAUGAUUUUACGAUAUCAUUUGCCUAGUGAACGAAGGGACUCAAAAUCAACGGCUAAAAAUAAAAAUCUUACAAAAUGUAAUAAUAUGACAUUAAAAUUUUAAAUCAAAGAUAUUGAUCUUGUUUUAUAUAGUAUAAGGAAUCUUCUGUCAAAAUUUCAUGUAAUUUGGAUAUUUCUGCACCGUUAAACUUGCAAACGGCUCACUAUGGCCAUUGAAAUUUGUUGAUUUUGAGCCCAUUCGAUCACUAGGCAAAUGAUAUCGAAAAAUAAUAAAAUUUAUUUUCUAGGUACUCCAAAUACUCUAGAUCAAGUUUAAUGGAGCUGAUCGACGAUUCGAAAGUCGCAACAUCGAAAAUGAGCUGGAAGCACGGAAGGCUUCGUGCUUCCGACAGCAUAGUAGCCCCACUCUAUAUAUAUAUAUUAUAUAGAAUUGAGCUAGAAUACUUUUACAAGUAUCACCCCUUUGGUGUUAUUAGGUUUUUAGCCCUUGGAUCUACUCCUUGAUUACUAAUAGCCCUUGGAUCAAACACUAUUCCACCUACCACCACCUACCACCAUUAUCCCAACCCUAUAUUUUUCUAUCUAAGGGUUAAAAACUUACAAGCACCAUCCUCUUGAUGCUUUUAGAAGUAUUCUAGCUCAACUCUCUCUCUCUCUCUCUCUCUAUAUAUAUAUAUAACGUAAGAUGAUAAAUAUUUUGCUUUCUUGAUGAAGACAUAUCAAUUUUUUUUUUUUGGACAAAAUAGAUAAAUUGUGUAUGGUGGAGAAUUUUUUUAAAAAAAAUAUAUGAACUAGCAGUGAGAAUUUUAUUAAAUUUAUUCGUGUGAGAAAUAUAACACUAUUUUAGUAAAAUUAAUAUUUUAUGUAUAAUAAAUAUAUAUAUAUAUAUAUAUAUAUAUAUAUAUAUAUAUUAUUAUAUUAAUAAUAUCAUAUUUUAUUAGUGCGUGGUGUCCAUGUUAUAUCUAUAUUCUAAUUUUUUUUGAAUCUGCAGAGUCGCGGUGUCCGAAUCAUGUCGUGUUUCAUAACAGUAACGCCUCAAUAGGUAGCAUUUUUUUAAAAAUGUAUAAAUAGAUAAUAAGAUCUGAUCAUAGCUUAUUUAGCUUCAGGCAUGGUAGACCAGAGAAAUUGAGAGAUUUCAUUCAAUAAUAGUUAAAUUUAAAAUAGACAAAUUAUCCAAUUAAGGGUUAAUUUCAUACAUAUUCCUGCAAACAUAGUAAAUAAUAAAUAUAUUCCUAUAAAGUUAAAUUUUCAUAUUUUGUCCCUACAAAAGUUCUGAUGUUUUCAAAUAUAUCCCUGCCGUUAGAAUCCGUUAGAAAAAUUUAGUUAACCACAGGUUAAAUACUUAAUCUUGGUUAGAUUUUGACAUUUUUACCCCUCUUAAAUUAUACUCUUAUGGCUUUCGGAGGGCCAUAUUUAUGAUGGCAAAAUUAAAAAUAUAAACAGUUGUCCAACGGUUCUCUCACGGUAAAUUAAAAUGCUUUUCCAUCAUUUUAUACAAUAUUCAUAGUUAAUUAAUUAAUUGACUUGUUAAAAUAUUAUUUUAUUAAUAAUUAACAUGCUUAUUAUUUAAAUAAAAUAUUAUUAUUUUACAACUAUAUAAUAGAUUUUAUUCCUACUAUUCUAAUCUAACUAUCCACACGUAAGUUUUCUUAUCCCAUUGAAUAACCCAAUUUCCAUCCAAAUACAAAAUUGUUCUAAUUCCUCCAUAUCCCACGAAUAAAUAAAAUUUAGCUGAGAACUGCUAUCGAAGAAGCAUAUAAUCGCAUGCGUGCUAACGGCAAAGUUUUCUUCGCAAUUUUAUAGCAGCAGAGGAAAAAUUGGAAGCACUUUCAAAUUUUUUUAGAUCUCUCAAAGUAUGAAAAAUAGAUGCUUUUAAGGGUAAUUUAGCAGGUUUGCUCCUCAAACAAUGAGAUAGGUGACGCUUUGGUUCUCAAUCUUUAAUUUAUUAUAAUUUCUGGUUUGAACUUUCAGGAGUUAUAUUGUUAAUAUAAAAUUGUGAUUGAUAACACGCUAAUAAUUUAAAUACCACGUCACUUUUUAUAUCAGUAAUGUAUCAAUUUUUAAUAUUGAUUGUUCCUAGCGCAAGUGGCAUAGGGCUUGGUGGUUGAUACCCGAGGUCCCGAGUUCGAAUCAUAGUUUAUUCACAUUUUCAGCUAAGUUUAUUUCUAAAUAAAAUAAACGAAGCAGAUAACAUGCUACCUAUCUCUCAAAAAAAAUAUCAGUUUUAAUUCAACUAAAUUAUUUUGUGGAACUUGAUCGCAAUAAUUCUGAAAGCUCAGGCCCGAUGUUUUCUGCCUGUCGGGACAUAAAAGAAGCGGGUAGCAUGCCACCUAUCUCUCUCUCAAAAAAAAAGGUAUCGAUUUUAAUUCAAUUAAAUUAUUUUGUGAAACUUGAUCGCAACAGUUCUGAAAGCUCGAGCCCGUUGUUUCCUGCCCGCCAGGACAGGUGCUUGGCUUGAAUCUCAUUUAAACUGAAAAGCAGGCUGAAAGUUGUACCUCGCAAGAUUUUAAAACUGUCCUGUAUAAGGAAAAUUUUAAAAUAAUAUAUUUUAUUUAUUAAUUUUUAGUGAAUGGAUGUGAUUCUUCGUGAAAGGAUGCAACCCUUAGUGAAUGGAUGCAACUCUUAAUGAAUUGAUACAACCCUUAGUGAGUGGAUGCAACUCUAAUCAAAAGGUAUGACUCUUAGAGUGAAAGGAUGUGACUUUUAGUGAAAGAAUAUGAUAUGAAAAGACAUAUCUUUAUAGUGUGUCUCUUCGUACAUAUGUCCGUUGGAAUCAAUGGUUAUAUUCAUUGAACUCUAUUCAUAUAACUAUUUGGUAGUUAUGAUCAAAUGAAAAGUCACAAUUGAAAGGUCACUUCACGAAACACCUAUUCAUGAAUAGUCACUUCACGAAGCACCCUUUCGUGAAUAGUCACUUCAUGAAGCACCCGUUCGUCGCCUAUAUAAGUCCAUAGCAUUGGUCGCAGAAGGACAUAGACAGAAAACAGUUGAAGAGUUUAAGUCUCCAUUCAUAAUAAUUCCAUUCUUGUUUUAUAUUCUAUUUCUUUUGACAACUUAAUCGAGUGAGUGCUCAAAGGCUCGACUUCGUGUGUGCAAACGCAGUUGAGGUUUACGCUUCAUUGUAUCCUGGGAGGUUGUUCGUUGACCCGGUGCACACCAAAUUGUUAGAACGGUGGGGACGGAUUAAGCCUUAAGAAAAGUGACAUUGCUACACGCCUUGAAGCCUUUUUAAUCUUUCUAUUUCAUACCUUUAUCACUAUCUGUUCCAACAUCCUGCGUUGAGGCCUCAAACUUCACCAAUUACAAACGAGUCGCAAACCAAAGAACCAGAACCAAUGAUAACAUAAACCUGCCAAGAAUGGAGUGAGGCUGGUAUGUUUCUGAAAGCACGGAGCUCUUCAUGCUUCCGAAUCAUUUUCUAUAUUGGGACUUUCGAAUCGACGAUCGGCUCGUUAGACUUGAUCUAGAGUAUUUGAAAUACUUAGAAAAUAAAUUUUGUGAUUUUUUGAUAUCAUUUGCCUAGUGACCGAAGAAGCUCAAAAUCAAUAAUUUUAAUAGUCACGGUGAACCGCUUGCAGGUUUAUCGGUCUAGAAAUAUUCAAACCACAAAAAAUUUUGAUAGAAAAUUCUUUAUAUUAUAUAAAAUAAGAUUAAUAUUUUUUAUCUAAAAUUUUAAUGUCAUAUCAUCAUAUUUUGUAAUAUUUUUAUUUUCAACCGUUAAUUUUGAAUCCUUUCGAUUACUAGGCAAAUGAUAUCAAAAAAUUGUAAAACUUCAAAUAUUCCAGAUCAAGUUUAAUAAAGCCGAUCGUCGAUUUGAAAGUCCCAACAUCAAAAAUAAUUUGAAAACAUAAAGGACUCCGUAUUUCCAAAAGCAUAUCAGCCUCACUCCCAAGAAAGGUUACAUCAACGCGAGCAGUAU